rnacentral:lncRNA from 1 species
GAGAAUUUAUCUUUUUAGGAUUUCAUUGAAAAUAAAGUUAAUAACUAUUUGCAAUAUGUAUAUCUCAUCAUUUUAUCUACUUAAUUAUCACUACCACUUUUCAAUAUAGAGUUUUGUAUUUCUUCUAUAUACUACUUCACUGUGUGCACUCCCAUUGUUAAACUAGCAAAAGUAAACAAAUUCAUUUAUAUUACUGAUUGACAUUGCUUGCAUCUCAACAAUUGAUUUACUUAACAUUAUUGGCUAUUCCUUUCUUUAAUCUACUUAUGUGACUUUGAAUCAUAAAAUUUGUGUUUAGAUUCUUAUCAGUUUCUUCAAAAUAUACUGUAAACAUUGAACUAGCACUAAAAGCUAAUUUCCAUGCAAAAAAUAAAAUAAUAAUUAAACUAAAUUAUUAAUGCCAAACUGGAAAUUGAGGUUGCUAUACUAAUUUUUUUGAUGCUGGUAUUAAUUAAAAGCUUGUAAUACCUUCUGGCAAAAUUUAUUUCAUGUAGUAUAUUUUAUAUUUUAUAUUUUAUUGAUUAUUCCUAGAUUAGAAAAGUUGCAAGGAAUAAUUAUACUUAUGUGGUGAGUUGAAUUGAUUUGAAAUUAUCAAAAAAUAAUCUUACAAUUUAUCAAGAUUUCUUAAGUUUACUGUUUUCAAACACAUUUGUAAAACAAAUAAAAGUAAUAAAUCAUGUCAUGUGCUAUCAUUGAAUAAACUAUGCUAUAAUGUCAAACAAAUAAUUGCUUGUAACUUCUUAAUUUUUUGAAAUCUGUUAUGGAAGUCCUGGUUAUUAGGCAAUUCUUACUUGUAACAACAAUUUUUUAGAAUGUUAUUAUUUAGUGUGACCUUAUGAAAAUAAGAUGAUUUUUAUGCCACUUCAUAAUUUGUACACAUGUGUGAGAAAUCUAACAAAAUUUUGAAAAUCUUAAACUCCAACUUCUAUGCUAACUUCAUUCUCCUUGUCAUGCAAAAGUAUAUAUAUAUUUUUCUUUCUGAGUAAUAUAUGGUAUUAAAGUUUGUUUAAAUAAAGAAACCACUAUAUACAAGUAAUGUAUUAUUGGUUUAUCAUGCACAAGGAUAAAUCAAAAAGAAAGAGACCCUUAAUACAUGUAUUAUUUUUUUUUUAAUACGUUUUGAACUUUACAUUAAUCAAGGUUUAUUGUGUAAGGCAGUUUAUUGGUGUUUCGUUUCAUAACUAAAUCAUUAAUUAAAGAUAAACAUUUCUGAAAAUCUUAGAGAGUUAAUCAUAAUCAUGUACAAGUAUAAUUUAGCUUAAAACAACUAUAAUUAAUUUUCAAUAAUCACAAGCUUUUACAUUCACUCGAUUUCAAAACCAGUUCGAACUUGAUAUUUUUAGCCACAAAACAAAAAUUACUUCUUUAUUUACUUUGAUAUUUUAAUGAAAUAAAUAGUCAACCUACAUAAACAGUGCCAACAUUUGUAUAAUAAUUAUGAAAGCUGAAGACCAAAAAAAUUACCAGUAAUAUACUUACAUACUAAGAAUUGAAAAAAAAAAAAAAAAAAAAAAAAAAAAUUGAAGACGAAGACAAAGAAGAUGAAGAAAGAAAUUAAGAAAUUAAUUUUAUAUAUAAAAAAAUUGUUCCAUGGAAGGGGGAUUUAUUUGAAAAUUUUAAUUCCAAAUCCAGAUAUUGGGAGGAAGAAAACUAAAAUUCAGGAAAUGUGAAGAGAUUUUUAUUCUAGCUUUGAUACAAAUUUGAUAUAAGUGUAUGUUUGUGGAUAAAUAUAAUAUUUUUUCUGAUGCCACGUCACAACAUGAGAGAGAGAGAGCAAGGAACGCGUUCCCAAGUAGGGGAACGGGGUACGUACCCGGAGGCGUAGAAUACGCACUGGUGCUAGUAUAAUAAUCCAUCCCAGAUACCCAUCGAGAUGAUCAAAGUCAAAUGAUUCUAUUGGGAUGUCGCCGAGGUCCUGAAAUCUCGCGGCGUCGCCACUGCUCCUCUUGUAUAUGUUUCCCUGCCAUUGCCACUGGCCCCUGAUAUUGUCAAUUGUCAUCGUCGUCAUUUACUUCCCCCCUCCCUCCCUCUUGGUUCCCGGCGUGGCUUGCGUGCGGUUUUACUCGCUGCUUCUGCUGCUGGAAUCAAUUUUCUGUGAGUAGGCGCUGGUCAUUGCGAAGUCCCUGCCGUGAGGUUCAUUGCAGACUGGUUUGGAGUGUGAGAAAUCGGAGUGGUUGACGAAUAGUGUUCGUGGCUCAGUGGCACGACGUCUUGGAGUGAGCGAGAGGGUGGCGUAGCGGGAAGUUGUUGAUAUUGUUCUGGACACAAGAAGCUGUGAAAGUGGUGGAGGUGGUUGUUGGUGAAGAUUCAGCAGAGCGGAAUUCGGCAGUGAAUUGCAAUCGAGAAGAGACGAUAGCUGCGAGAGCUUGUUUGUAACGACGAGAAACAGCCGGUUGGGGAGAGAAGAAGCGUGUAUGUCUGAUAGUGCGGGUCUAGGGAAGGAGUAUCCAGGCAUCGGGGUGCUAGAAAAGCCCUGUCAAUGGCCUCACAUACGAAGUCGCCGAAGAUUUGCUGCGACUCGCCCGCCUCUCCUCUCGAGGAUUUCGAUUCGGACGCAUCUUCAACCUCGUUUUCGUCUGAAUCGUCUCUCUUAGGCACCAACAUGGCUCGAAGUUUGGAGCCUCAGCCAGCCUCAGGAGAAGUUUUAGGGAUGAUGGAGGAACACAUUGACCAACAAGACCAUCACAGGAACAUCAAGGUUCCUUACGGUUCCAUAGAUUCUGCAACCACGGUUGCUGGAAGCACCUUGAAAGGUUGCAUUCCUCGCCCGACACAAACCCUCUCCCUAUUUAACUUGCAUGUCUAUCCCUUGCAGCGCUCUCCCGUGUCUACUACCGUUUCUGAAAAGACUCGGCUGUUCAAUUAAUUUCUCGCUCCAUGUGAGCUGCUACAGCAAAGAUAGAUCUGUUCACCCAAAGUCUAAAUUCUAGCACGUUUUUCGGAGAGCGAUAGUAUACUUGCUGCUGAGGAUGGAUAGAUCCGUGCACUAUUUAUAUAAUUACUAGAACAAGGUCUUUCACUGAUCAUUAUGUUGAGCGUGCGUCCUUCACCGUUUUGGAUGAAUGGCCGUGGAAGCUCGUAAGGAUCCGAAUUUAUUGACGUGUACGUCGCCAAGUAGUAGUGUUUAGAGAAUUUCAACAAUCAUUAAGUUUAGGCAUCGGAAAGCAUACAAAAGUUAUGGAGCGAUGGCCUUGUAAACUAAAAAGAGUUGAAAACACUUGCCCGCUAGUUGAGCAGAAUCUUGUAGAUACCGAAAAGAAUAUCUGUAACAGCGUCCUCAUCUCUUCCCAGACUGCUCAAGGUUUUACAUUUUGCUGAGCGCGUAACAGUGGAUUUGCACUGAGCAUCUGGGCAGCAGUAGUUAAGCAUCGUCUCGUUUAACAGCUUCCACAUCUUCUGAUGUGAUAUGCCGACGUUAAUAGUUGGCUGAAUCGAUGAGAUAUGUGAUGUAUACCCGUAUCGGCAUAUUCAGCGCAUAUUUCUUCGUUCACAACACCAUGGAGUCGAAGUUUGAGACCAUGAGUGCAAUAUGUGAGCUUUAAGGUUAAUCUUCUCAUCCGGAUGUGCGGACCUAACCUCUUCUGUAGUUUCACUAUUCAUACAAGCUUUUGCCUAAUACAAGCGCAUCACCCGAUCUCUCCUGUAGACAGUUGUUACAAGUGCUUCACUACGCUCAUGUGUGGAAAACAUGGUUGCUUCCUAGCUCUCCUAACCCUAAACGAAGCUUUAAGAAUUCUAGAAAUUUUACCCUCAAGGUAGGAAUAUCUUUUGUUGGGAAGAAAACGCGCAAUGUCCGUCGUUGUGCAUCCUCGAAUGAUCCGCAAGUGAACUGAGCAAUGAAGAUUGACGAUGACCCGUACGUUUAACUGCGCACGAGGUUUUUAAUCUCCUGGAAAGGGUUCAUAUAAUUCAUGAACAUGAGAUGUAGCACUCCGCGAGAAUAUAUAAUUAACACACUUAUCAUGAUGCUUGUUUUGUUGUUCUCUGUCAGUCCAAAGAGGAAGCACUCUCGUAGCGACGCGAAUCUCCGAUGAUUGCAGAAUUGUUUGGGUGGCUUUCUGAAAGAGCCACAGUUGGUCGUUGUGUGAGGACUAAUAUAAUGGAGUAUGUAGUGCUACAGUAGGUGAAACAUGAGACAUUGUCUAAAGUUUGAAGCCGGUGCCUUAUCUGUCCAUAUCAUUAAUAAUUGCGCAGGAGCACCAAUGCUUGUCUUGAGGUCUCAGUCAGCGCACCCUUUGGAUCCUUUGAGUCCCACCGAGAUUGCCGUUGCUAUAGCCACUGUCAGGGCGGCAGGUGAAACACCAGAAGUAAGUGUACAAGAUGUGCUCAUUCCCUUCUUUUUCAGUUGAGAGCUUAUCACUUAUCUCUUAGUCGGAAAUGUUUGUAACCUGAACUACUGAGUCGAAGAGUAGAUUGGCAUGUUUGUCUCCUCAGUUUUUUGUCAGUUCUUCCCUGCUGUGGACGUCGAGCAUCACCGCUUUUCGUUUUGUAUUGACACUACAACUGCCUGUAUUGCCAUGUCUGUAAUUCGCCGUUUCAUCAAUUGUUGAACUUGUUUGGUGUCGGCUUUGUCCGAUUAACUGUUAGCCAACUAAAGGUUGAACUUAAGGGAAGAUAUGCUUCACUAAAGUGCUACUUCUCAAUCGGUGUACGAUUGUUGACGCAAUUUAUUCUUCAUGAUCUUGUUUACGUUGGUUGAGGGUUCUAUAACUUUUGCCAAUGUUUAUUAUUUCCAGGUGCGGGAUGGGAUGCGAUUUGUGGAGGUAGUGCUCAAUGAACCAGAUAAGAAUGUGGUGGCUAUGGCAGAUGCUUAUUUCUUCCCUCCAUAUCAGCCUAUGCUGUUUAAACCCAAAGGAAAACCGACAAUCUAUCCGUCCUUACAGCUACCACAUAGGCAGGCCAGACUCGUUGUUUACAACAAAAGAACAAAUGUGACUAGCGUAUGGGUGGUGGAACUUAGCGAAGUCCACGCCGCAGCUCGUGGAGGACAUCAUCGCGGGAAAGUCAUGUCUUCUGACAUAAUUCCAGAUGUUCAGCCUCCUAUGGUAGGGGUGCUAAGUCUCUGUAGUAGUCGUUAGUUUUCUCAUUUACUAGGUGGCACGAAGUUAAUUCUUUGAGAAGUGCCUGUGGGGGCUUUUAUCACUGUUCUGUAAGUGACUUUUACAAUUCGUGCUGCGCUGUCAGGAUGCUGUGGAGUAUGCUGAAUGUGAAGCAACUGUGAAAGAGCAUCCGUCUUUCGUUGAAGCCAUGAAGAAACGGGGUAUCGAGGAUAUGGAUCUUGUGAUGGUGGAUCCCUGGUGAGCCUUCUUGUCUUUAUACUCAUUUGAUAACGAAGUACACUGAGGCUGGUAGAGUUGAGACUAUAUAAAAACAAAGUUUAAUAUGACGUGUAAGUUGCUUAGAAUAGUGGUUGCAUUGCAUUUUUUAUGUAACAUGUAAGUCAUGCAAUGCCUUGUGUGCUGGUACAGUUGUACAUAUCAUGGUUCUUGUAGACAAGCUCACAUUUGGAGAAGUUAACCUAGAGUGGGCUUUGUGUGCAGGUGUGUCGGGUAUUACAGUGAGGAAGACUCUCCCAGUCGAAGACUUGCAAGGCCGUUGAUAUUUUGUAGAACAGAGAGCGAUUGUCCUCUAGAGAAUGGAUAUGCACGACCAGUGGAGGGUAUACACGUCCUGGUAGACAUGCAAAAAAUGGAGGUGAUAACGUUUACCUUAUCGUUCAUGACGCGGAAAUAUUAAGAUCCAGUAUCGAUCGUCUAUUCAUCUUUGAUUAUUGUGCGUGACAGAUCUAACGUCCUUGGAGAUAUUAUCUCUAAUGACGGAAACAUAGCUGUGUGAACUCACCUGAACCCUUUUCUUCUCCAACUUAUUGGAAACGUCCUGAGAUGGCAGGUGAUAGAGUGUGAGGACAGGUAUCUGGUUCCUUUACCACCACCAGAUCCUCUGAGAAAUUACACACCUGCUGCUUCUCGCGGAGGCGUCGAUAGGAGUGACAUAAAGCCAUUGGUCAUUUCUCAGCCCGAGGGGCCUAGUUUUCGUGUGAACGGGUAUGCAGUGGAGUGGCAAAAGGUACAUUUCGUGAACUUUCUGGAUGAUUGGUUAGCGAUUAAGAUCAUGUGUCGUAGAAAUGCUAUGGAGAGAACAUAACGUGCCGAAACUUUCAGAUGAGGUUGUACAGGAGGUAUUUGAUUGUGUCUUAAGCUUAAUGGUAAAAAUGCUUCGACUUUUGUGUCGAAAACAUAAUAUUAGUUUAACUAAUAAUAGUUAUUAUUUAAACUUUCUAUCUGGGAAUUUUGUUUACAGUGGAACUUUCGAAUUGGUUUUACUCCAAGGGAAGGAUUGGUUAUUCAUACCGUCGCCUAUGACGAUGGGAGUCGAGGAAGACGAUCAGUCGCACAUCGUCUGAGCUUCGUUGAAAUGGUGGUUCCUUACGGUGAUCCAAAGGAUCCUCAUUACAGGAAGAACGCGUUUGAUGCAGGAGAAGAUGGUCUUGGAAAGAACUGCCACUCAUUAAGACGGGUCAGUACUUUGCUCUUCACUGUGACGAAUUCUAUCACGUUAAGUCUAUCUAUUUCUUAAUCGCAACCAUUGAGCUCCAGUCCAAGUUGAAAUACUGUUAUUUAUCCUCAUUUCGCUGAACAGAAUACUUUAGUCAACUACACAAUAUUUUAAAGACUAGAACAGUUGACGUGAAGAUUUUUUAUGCAAUGGAUUUGUUGAGGAGUUGAUUAUCACUGAAAAGAUGUGCAGGGAUGUGAUUGUCUGGGCCUGAUCAAGUAUUUUGAUGCCCAUUUUACCAAUUUCCAUGGAGGAGUUGAAACAAUCGAAAACUGUGUCUGCAUGCAUGAAGAAGAUCAUGGUGUACUGUGGAAACAUCAAGAUUGGCGAACUGGUUCUACAGAAAGACGUCGGUCACGGCGAUUAACAGUUUCUUUCUUCUGUACUGUCGCCAACUACGAGUACGGGUUUUACUGGCAUUUCUAUCAGGUUUACUGCUCUAACUGCUUACCUACUUGCAUGUUGGACCCAUAAAUGACUUGUUAAAGGAUUUCGGUGUUUUUUGCACAUGUAACUUUUCAUCAAGAUGAAGAGUGUUUGGCGGAUGUAACACAGUACUAAAAGUUUACUGCAAUACGCUUUCUCUUUCAUUUAGUCAGACUUGCUCGCAGAACUCUCCGAAGUAGCUCUAGCUGCAAUCGUUUAUCUUUAGUUCCCGAUGGCAGGAGUCCAUGCGAUGAACCAAUUCAUGAGUUAGCGGAAGCCGUGGGGUAAUAGUUUCUGUGGGUUAGAAAUGUUGUCUUUGUCCAAAUCUCUAACAUGUGCCUUCAAAAUCUUCAUUUCUAUGAUAAGCCUCUUGUAGCUUCUCGGUGCUAAAGGAGUCUACAGGUGUGAGCUCAUAAUGGGUGCCAGAUGCCUGAAGCUGCAAGAGGGCUGAUUGUGGUAGUUGAAAUGCAGUGUUUUUUCUGAAUCUGUGACCUGUUGAGUAGUUGAGAACAGGAUCUACAGCUCCAGGUAAGUUCUGAGUCUUACACAUCCUCGUAGCCCAAGAAGGGAAACAAAAACUUAGUAGGGUAUUACAGACUACUGCUGCUACCGCGCCUUAAGCCGUUAUGGAAUUAGAUUCAUUAAGGUAUUAGAUGCUGGCAUGGUUUUUAACGUGACGGAAGGCGGCUGUGUCACUCUAGCACAGAUGAAUUUUAUGAAUAAUGCUCGAGUUUGUCCUGGUAGCAGUAUGUGCACAGUUUACUUCUUGUGUCUUAGCAAUGUGAACUUGGAUGAGUUCUAGUGUUGAGUAGUGGUGUAGUUGGGUAGCCCUUUGCUGUCAGUGGUGAAUAUCCCUCUCCAAUGUGGCCGAAGGUCUAUUACAGGAGCAUAAUGGGAGCGUGGGCCAUAGUUCGGUGACUACCGUAGUUUUUGCGAGAGAUUUAGAAAGAGGAAAAUAGACGUGGUAUACUUGAUUAUGAAACAAUUAAAUUGUGGUCUUUGGCAUGAAGCCACCUGAGCUGUAUCUGGGCCCUUGUUGCCUCCUCUAAUGCGUGACGAGGAUCAAUAAAGAGGUUACUGGAAUUGCAAGCUUCGACGAGCUGCGUGUUCUGCUCUUAUUUGAGCGCUCCUUGCCCUCCAUGGAAACAGUGCUGAUGGGGAUUGUUUAAAGUGCCUUCAUUCUGCACAUAACGCACACACGCAUUAUGCUGUGAAUGGGCUCUCACAAACCUUGGGAUUCAGUGUGUUUUUCUUGCAGUUUCAAGUGACUCUAGAUGGAUACAUAAUGUCUCUUUGCUUUUCUUGUUGUUUUGAAGUAGUUGCCAGAGACAAUUAGCUUUGGUCUAAAACAAAUAUUUAAUAAUGAGCAUUUUAAUUCUUCCACCUAAGAAAUGUGGGAGCAUGUUACAAUUCGAAGUUGCCCUUUCAAAUUCAUUGCAAGUUGAUAACCAUUUUAAUAUGCUUCUAUUUGUAUCUGACAUGGCUUUGGAGGUAUGUUCUGAAAGUUUUGUUCUGUUUAGUGCUUGGAGUCUCGUUGAAGACCUCGCAAAUUAUGCAAACUGUGACGACAGUAUGCCGCGGGUUCCAUAUUCUGAACAGAAAAUUAUAAUGUCUGUUUGCAGGAUGGCAAGAUUGAAGCUGAAGUGAAGCUGACUGGCGUCUUGAGCUUAGGUGCUCUAAAGGCGGGUGAGAACCGUCGACAUGGGACUGUGAUAGCACCUGGUCUCUAUGCGCCGGUACACCAACAUUUUUUCGUCGCCCGAUUGGACAUGGCUGUUGACUGUAAACCUGGCGAAGGACUUAAUCAGGUACAAAACUAGGGGCUUUUCUUACAUAAAGGUAUCUAAAGUCAUGUAUUGGUGCGCAGGGAACCAGUCUCUUAGUACAUAACUCAAUUUCAUCCUUGCACAGGUGGUGGAAGUGAAUGUGAAGGUGGAGAAACCAGGACCUAAAAACCCACACAACAACGCAUUCUUUGCUGAGGAAACUCUUCUGCGAUCAGAACAACAGGCUCUGAGAGAUUGCAACGCCCUAAGCGCGCGACAUUGGAUCGUAAGAAGCAGACCUUUAGUCUUCAGAUUCUUCUUAUCAAGCUCAUUAAUUUCUGCGAAUGUUUUUCAUCUGCUUAUGUUUAAAAUUUUAGUAUCUUACCAUCGGUUGUUGAUCGGACACUACGACAUGUCAUAGUGACUACAUUUGGACCCAAGUUUUACAGCAUGAGUCUCUGCCGAGGAACUUACGAAACUAAAAUGUUUGGCUUUGUAGGUAAGAAAUACGAGAACAUUCAAUCGAACCGGACAGCUCACUGGCUACAAACUAGUUCCGGGCUCCAACUGUCUGCCGCUUGCUGGGCCAGAUGCAAAGUUCUUGAGACGAGCUGCAUUCCUCAAACACAAUCUUUGGGUGACCCAAUACAACCCCGAUGAGUGUUUCCCAGGUGGAGAAUUUCCCAAUCAAAAUCCCCGGGUCGGUGAAGGUCUUCCUACAUGGGUGAAGCAGGAUCGGAAAUUGGAGGAGACAGAUAUUGUGCUUUGGUGAGUUCUUUCGAUGUCUUGCUGCCCACAGUAGAUUCUGGAUUUCAAUGUCACAAACACGUUUUCGACCAUCUAUGUGAUGGAAGUGCUUCAGAAAGUAUGAAUAGAUGGAAACUAGAUUCUGUUUCUUUGAUUUUUGAAUCACUCUGGACCAAAAUAUUGAGCUUUUGCAAUGUCUACCAUAAACUCGAUUAGUAACUGAAUUAAACGAGUUCGUUCGUCACAUGGGGAUUGUUAGAGUUUGCGUUGUAGUCUUAAUAUGGUGAGGUAUCUCAAUGUUUGUUCAUGCAAUUGCUGUGGUAUGCUCACACUUUCCUCGGAGUCCAGGUAUGUAUUUGGAGUUACUCACAUUCCUAGACUUGAAGACUGGCCAGUAAUGCCUGUGGAGCACAUUGGAUUCAGUUUGAUGGUGAGUAUGUCUGUCGUGUUUAAACCUUGCACUAUGCACUGCAACAGUAAGACCUUGCUUAUUGAACUGUUUUUAAAGAAUCUUAGAUACACAUGCUCCAUUCAUCUGAAACAGUGGUAUAAUAUGGUUGCGUUGUUUUGAUACAGCCACAUGGCUUCUUCAACUGCUCACCUGCCAUUGACAUUCCACCAAAUGAUGCGACUGAUGAGAAUGGUCACAAGGACACAAUGAAGGGAGGCCAGUCUGAGAUGAUACCUCUUCUCUCUAAGUUAUAGUUGUUCUUGUGAGUGGGAAGUAACUAGCUGAAGAAUUGCUCCAGCAGUGUGCAUUAAGUGGGUAACCAUCAUAUAAAAUCACGUCAUUACAAACCUUGUUAUCACCACUGAAUAUAGUGUCCUUUGGGGCUGAUACUGAUUAACUUGAAACUAGGAUAAAGCAUUGGUAUUAACCUGUGUGGUGUCAUACAUCCAUGCUGUGUAGGUAUUGCCCCCCUCUCCUUGUACUAUGCCCAUAUUGCAUCUGCUGAGUUGGCACCUGCAACAUUGUACAAAGGUGGUUUACCUGUAAACUUGCAAUGUUUAUGACCACAAUAUUCUUUGCCAACACUAAAUUGUAUUGAAUGUAGAGUUUUCUGUACAUUGCAAAGUUUGAAGAAUAUGUCAGACUGAGUUAAAGAUCCUCCGAAGCAGUUAUGAACUGUCUGAUUUUCCACGUUUGAAGUGAGAUAGAAUAUUUUUUAUUCUGGAUUUUGAUUGAGGAUACAAUUCUACAGAUUCCAUAAGUGUAGCUAUAGAUGCUUCUUCUAACUUUCUCAAUUUAAAGUGAUCGUGUGACAUUCUGAACAAGUAAUGUUUACGUUGUUUUUCUUAGAAACAAUAUUUGAUAUCAACUACAGACAGAUAUUGAUGCCAAUAACGUGAUUCGAAAUGCUCUACCUCUAUCCCGAAAGGUAAGAGUUAUCCAUAUUAAUGUUCAUCUUUUAAAUUUUUUAAUUUUGCAAUGAAGUUAUAAAAUGUGGGGUCUCAGAAAAUAAAUCAUAGAUUGAUGAUUCCAUGGUGACAUAAUUGCCACUUUAUUAUGGACAUUACUAAAUAUCUAUAAUAUAUCUUUGUAACGAAUGCGUGGUAAAAACAUAAAAUAUAUUUUUUGCAUAUUUUUACCAACUUCGGAGACCAUGAGUUGCAACUCUACUCAUAAUGAAAUGUUAAAUGCAACACUUUCAUAAGAAAAAUAAUAUAGAUAAAAGCUUGAAACCUGAAGCCAAGUUUGUUAUGAGCAGACUUAAGAGCUAAUCUAAUAAAAAUAUGCUCAUUGUCAAAUUCUUUUAUACUCACUUCAAUUAGAAAGAUGUUUAUAUAUUUAUAUUCGAAAGAUAAAAACACUAUCGAAUAGUUUGCAUUUGAUCUUUUAGAGCCUUGCAUAUAAUCUCCAUAAAAUCAAAGAAUGUAAAAAGACGCCCAAAAAAGAAAUAUAUUUAACAUGGAAAACAAAAUAUUUUUAUACUUACUCCUAAAAUGAUCAAAUCAGAAUUCAAAAUCAUACCGUGUGUUUCAAAUUCCAAAAAAAAAAUUAUACAAUAAAUAAAUAAAUAUUAUUACCUUGUAAAGAAAUUCUUACUACCUUGUGUUGCAGAUUCAAAUUUUAGGGACUAUUAAAUAGACCCAAGUUUUUAUUAAAUUGACCCACUCAUCCAACCAUCAUGAAAAAAAAUAAUAACCUCUAGAUUCAUUUCCCAACUAUUGAAUCUGCAAUCAAUAAAAAAAACCAAUCACAUUUAUCAUGCCAUAUUCUUCAUCAAGGAUGGAUCUAUUUAACAUUCUCCAAAUUUUGUUUGUGACUUAUCCUUUGAACAAAUGACUCAUUAUCACAAAAGAAAUUCGAAGCCAAGAAUUCUAUUACAAAUAACCAAAACCAAACAAUUCUUUUACCAAACGAAUUGAAAAAUCAUUAUAACAAUCCCAUGGACACCGAACUCCACACACAACCUGGGGCAUGCGGUGUGAAAGAGGGGAGGGGGAUAUACAUACGAUGGAUGAAUAUCGUCAGUGGAUGACUAUAGGGAUGAUAAUUACCUUUAUUAACUUAGACUAGUAGUAGGUAUGUAUCCCCAAGUAGAUUGUGUGGGACAGCCUUUGCGCCCCCUGCUUUGCAAUGCCCAACUGUAAUGGCGCCAGAGGAAAGUGGAGCUGCGGCAUCUUCCCCCCUGCAUUCCGCCCUCCCUUUGCCAACUCCAUUCUUCCUUCCUAGCUCUCUCUCUCUCUCUCUCUCUCUCCAUGCUUAGAUUCAUUUCUUGCUUCUCUUUCUCCGAAAUUCUUAUUAUUUAAGCUAUGGAAGUCCAUUCUUAAGAGCACGUGAUCAGUUUAGUGUGAUCGGUGAACAGUUUGGAGAAGUGCAGCAGCAGUAGCGAAGGAAAGCGCAUAUUGCUGAGAGUAAAGGUAAGUAGGCUCUGUCUGUGGCUCUGUGUAAUUUGGUAGACGUUACUGUUGUUGAAAUUUGUAGCGUUCGAAAUGCGGGGAUUGACGUUGGAGAUGUGAGAGCGGGAGGUGUGUACUUGUGGUGAGGUCGAGCGUCGCUGUGGAAACUAAGCAGAAGUCAUGAGGGCGUCGUCUCAGAUACAUGAGAAGGUAUACGAUAACAGUGUCCUUUGGAGUCCGAGUUAGGACGGCUGGUGCGUGGCAUUCAUGUGUGUGUACAAAUCUGUGACUGCUACAAGAACUGUGAUAAGCUGCUAGGUGCACGCGCCUCCACAGCGUCGACCGUAAGUAAAGGAGGAAGCGACUGUGACAGUAACGGAUGUCUGACAGGACUCGACGUGAGUAUUGAUGUUUAGUUAAAAAGGACCACUCCUCACAGACAAGUGCUUUGAUUGCUCGGCUGUGGCUCAGGGUUUUCCGUGGCAGAAGUUUCUGCGAGGUGUGAUAGAGUGCCACAGGUGGAGUGAAGAGUGUGAGAGCUGACGGGGUUUUGGAUGGAGUGAGGCAUUUUGAAGCUUUUCCUCGGAGGUCGAAUGUGCAGAGGAAUCGGGUAGCGGGAGUAAGAGUGGCACAGAUCAUCGUGUGGAGCGAGUGUGCAGUGCAUGCGUGCUGCAUUGUGGAAGCCGACCGCAACAACCGUUUCAUACAGGCUUACAUCGUGAUAUGACCGUGGCGACUAAUAAGGUGGUAACGAAACAGGAUCUCUCUGGAUUAUCUCGUUCCCCCGACAGUAUUUUCAAGUUAACACUCGCCGCAUGAACAGUGUUCAGCAGCAAGUAGUGUCUGUAGGCAUCACUGAGCUGUAGCAGCAGCUGAGAGACGUUAAGGGUCCCAGGCAUUCACAACAAAACGGACGAUGUGACUGUCGCUGUGAUUAGUUUUAUAACUUCUAUUCCACUGUGGGAGAGGUAGGGUGGUCGAGUACGUUUGUUGAAGGUGAGAGAAGUACAAGAGCUUGCAUACAAUCAGUCUCACUCACGCUCGACUCUGGGUGCAAUAUUUCGAGGAGCGGUUUUGUGACAUAUUGUAGGGACCCAUUGAAGAAUGAAAAUACGAUGGCACGCCACCGCCAAUAAUUGACGACGGCUUUUCUUGAUAGUCUUCGAAGGGCAAAGGUUGUGGAACUUUGCAGCUGAUCAACACAUUCAAAGACUCCCUUGUUUCAAGAAGAUGCCUUAUUUCUGCAGUUUCAUGAGGAUAACAACUAAUAAGCGACAUCUUUUCGGAGACGGUUUAGGUUUGUUCCUAGCCAAAUUUUGCCCCUUGGACACUUAAAGUCUAUCCAACCUUGAGUUAUAACAGUAAUCGUGAUCUCUUUCCUCGUGAAUUGCUUUGUAUUCUAAACAUCAUACUUGGUUCGUCGUUUUCUUUCUUGUGUGAGGAGACAGGUAAAAUACAUUUCCUUAUUGAGCGAAAGAUAAAAGUGCUCAGCUACUUGCUAUCAACCUUGAAGUUCCUUGAGUUGCUCAUUCCUGGGUUUUACUCUGCUACAGAGAUGCCACUUGAUUCCUGGACUAGAUUUCAUGUUUGUUGUUGGCUUGCCUGUAUACACUAGAGGAAAUUUUGAUCUAGUUCAUGGAAGUCAUGUGAUGCUACAAAAUCUCUUAUCAAGCCCAUACUAAAGUGGAUGGCUUGCUCUAUCGUACAGCUGACUCAGUUGUAUUUGUUUUGGUGUAUUGUUGCUGCAUUCUGUUGUUUGUAAUCGCUGAAGUCAUCUCGUUGUGUAGAAACUAGCUCUAUAUUUUCUCUAAUUUCAGUUGAGUGAAGAUUCUACUUCGAUGUUACACUUCUCUUGUAUAUAUAAUUUUAUAUCCGCGUCUUGGUUUCGAUUAUGGUAUCGUCGGCAUGUGAAAAGCAAGCGAGAUUGUAACUCUACUUUCCAGUUAUGAUUACCACUGCUAUCCACUUUUUCAUUUGAUUCGCUGGUGAUGAGAAAUGCUUCCCUUACUUUAGUCUGUCUAAUUACAAAUCUUGAUAAAUUAUUAAUGUUGACUUAAAUCGGGCACGGUGAUCAUUAAGGAUUUCUAAGUUGUCCCUCAUCCUACUUGACACGUGUUUCUUAGAGUGAUUAUCACCUAUUCGUGUAUUCUUGGUCUUCUCUAAGUGGUCUUGUUGCGGUACCUGAAUGCAAUUGAUCAGCUUUAGCUACUUGGUUUCUGCAAUUCGCAGAAUUGUGCUGUCGUCUUUGCUACAUGAUGGUGUGUGACUUUGAAUCUGCUGGACUUGAUAUGUGUUCGCCGGAACAUUCUGAUGCAGAGUAACCAACUCUUGCUAAAGUAUACUCGUUUUGCAACUGAAAAUAAUAGAACUUUCAUUUUUGAUUUGUUUUGUUUUGUUUUUUCAUUGCAGCUAAAAUAGACGAUGGGACGUCUCUGAUGAUUAUGGUUAAGUAAAUCACUGCGUAGUGGUAGAAUCUUUGAUAUCGGCAGGAAUGGGGAAUCAAUUCACUCGCAUUCGGUCUAAAAAGAAGCAGAGCAUCGAGAAGUCUAUCCAACCAUCCCAUACAGGAACUCUUGAUGAGCAAUCAAUGAAGGACCAAGCAAUGGCAAUGGCUAAGCAUGAGCUAUACAUAGCAAGUCUGAGUGCGCGGAGCAAAAUGCUUCAAGAAACCAUUAUGGAGCCUUCAAGACACAGUUACUCUGGAAGGGCAAGCUAUGGGAGGCUUGAUUUUUCAAGAAGUUACAGUUCUCAAGAUCGUAGAGACAUUGAUUCUUUGCUUGACCCCGUACCAUCAAUGCACCUCAGAAGGGUUCAGGUCAAUUCAGCAUCUUCUUCAUUAUCAUCUUCUUCAUUUCUCUCUCUCACUCUCUCGCUCUCUACACACACGCACGCACUGUACACACACCCACAUGUUUGUAUCUCUAUCUCUCUCUCUCUCUCUCUCUCUCUCUCUCUCUGUUUAUAUAUAUAUAUAUAUAUAUAUAUAUAUAGACCUUUUUUCAUUUAAUCUUUUGGAAUUUUAGGGAUAUCUGACUUACAAUUUUAAAGUCUCACUCAAACUAGUCUCUAAGCUUUUAGUGAAAGGAUUCCGAGUUCAACUCAUACGAUCGGAAGUCUAAAUAACAAUCGUUGGGUUUGCUGAUUUCAGGAGAAAUACAUAGGUGUAAACCUGGAGAGUAGACAUUUCGUUCUGGUGCAUGGUGGAGGUCUAGGAGCCUGGUGUUGGUACAAAUCGAUAGCGCUGCUUGAGGACUCUGGGUUAAGAGCCACUGCCGUUGAUUUGAUGGGCUCAGGCAUCGAACCAACAGAUCCUAACCGGAUAACAAGUCUCAUGCAAUAUUCAAAACCUCUUCUGGAGGCCUUGAAAUCAAUUGAAUCAACUCCUGGUCAUGAAAAGGUGAAGCAUGUAUCAAUGUUAUGACGUCGAUUUCAUGGAGGUCGUAAUUAUUGUUGUUAUUUCAGACAUUCUUUAUACUCUUGUAAAUUGGUUCAAAGCUUCAGCCAGUAGUAGAUAUUUCAGUUUUCCUCAUCUCAGCCUUCUCUAUGUCAGCAUGCUCAACACUGAUGGAGUUUUUGGAUCAAUGGAAGUAUACGAAGGAAUUUGUUGCAUGAGCUUUUCCAUGAUCCAUCUUCUCUGGCUAACUUCGUUGUACGAAUCGCAGACAAUUACUGUGUGAUCAUACAAUGCACGAAUCAUAUGAAGCAAAAAUCUCCACGUUUGAGUGUUAUUUUCUAACUUAAGAGAUAUGUGGUUGUUUGAAGGUAAUUCUGGUCGGCCAUAGCGUAGGAGGUGCUUGCAUUUCAUAUGCAAUGGAGUGCUUUCCAAAUUUAAUUUCCAAAGCUAUAUUCAUUGCGGCAACUAUGGUCAGCAACAAUCAGAGCGCAUUUGAUGUUCUUGCAAAGCAUGUAAGCUUGUUUAAAUCCUUGAAAUUCGUAUUCUGGAACUAUGUACAUUGAUUAUCGAAGGGGAAAAAAUAAAAAAUAAAAAAAUGCUUAUCAUCUUAUUAGCCACAUUCAGCCGAGGUCAAUAUCGUGUCGUUAGGGGCCCGUCCAAAGACUAACGAUAAGUGAUGAGUUCGUCAUAUUUCUGGGUUGAAGUAUCGUUUUACAUGUAUGUCUUCUACUUUCUUGAAAGGCCGAAUUGAAGUAAUAACCUGACGUCACCUUACCGUUCCUUGAGUAGAUACAAAGUCCGGAUGCUCUCAUGACUAAGGCUCAGAUUUUUAUUUAUGGGAAUGGAAGAAGAAAACCUCCUACAGCUCUUACAUUCGACAAGAGCUUAACAGGAGAUCUCUUCUUCGCCAUCAGCCCAGCGAAGGUUAGUCUUUAUUUCUCAAUAUGUGUUUUGAUUAAGGAACUUUCAGCUACACAAGUUGCUCGCCUUUGAUACUAAAAGAUCGUAAACCAAACCAAUUCAUAGAUGCUUUGAACUCUGAAAACGGCUUGCGACUGACUUAUCGGUGAGCAUUAUCUGACAGGAUGUGGUUUUGGCAACUCAUUCAAUGAGACCAAUGCCUUUUGCCCCUGCAAUGGAGAAGCUCUGUUUGACACACUCGAAUUACGGUAAAGUGAGGCGUUUCUACAUCUCAACCACUGCAGAUCAAGCCUUACCAUUCCCAGCCCAACAUGCAGUGGUUGAAGAAAAUCCUCCCGAGCGUGUCUUCACCGUGAGAGGGAGUGACCAUUGCCCUUUCUUCUCUAAACCCCAGUCCCUUCACAGGAUCUUUCUUGAAAUUGCCCAGAUGAAUGGGAAGCAUUAGCGUUAUCCGGCAACCGUACCUUUUACUAAGCUUCAGGGUACCCUAAGUCUCAUCCCUUGUGUAUCCAAUCGUAUUCCGCAGCACUUAGUUUGCGAAGUUGCGGAACCCAAGUGGCUAAGGCUGUAGCAGCCAGCGUUGAGUUCAGCUGUGGGCAUCCUUCAGCAUAUCUUCCUCAGCUCCGCUGCAAGGCCCCUUUACCGUAAUCAACUUGACCAGGAAAAAUAGAUUCAUUUUCUUGUACAUAAAUAGUCAACAGAGGUGAGAUCAACACUCCGUUGCAAUGCACAACGCAGGUGCACAUAAUAAUCUACACACAUCUAGUUUGCAGGUUUCGAAAUGGGUAUUGUACAUCGACCUAUUUCUGGAGUGAGAAGCUGAGCUGGUACUUUGCAGUUGAUAGGUACAUCAUUGCACAAUUUUUCACUGUUUCAACGUACAAAACGCAAGAACUCGAAGCCCAAUCUCGAGCUCUGCAUGGUGAGAACGUGAAUAUUGUUCAACUAGAGAAGUGUCAAAUGAGCAGAGGCUGCAGAUGAUGAGUCGGAAUGUUAUCUCUCAUCUGCUAGUGGCUGCUAAUGAAGUUAUCAUGUCUUCUAAGAUUCUACUCUGGAUCGGUGUCAUACCAAUAAACUACAAAAUUGAACACGCGUAUGCAGUUUGAUACACAGAUGCCUGCUAAAGUGUGCGAUCUUCACUGCGAGACCAUCAUAGCGUCAUUUAUUCGGUUUACCUCGUAUUAAAUUAUUCAGGAUGAACUAUUCAAAAACAGUUUCCUCAUGAUAACCUUGUCUGUUCUGAGCCCAUAGUUACCACCUAGUCUGUGGUAGGCAGAUGCUUAAAAUUUGAUGAAGGAAAAGUCCAGUGCAUGUUCAAUAGGUGAUUCUGGCAAGUUUCCUUAGGUGUACCGUUUCACAAGCAACGUGGUUCUUGUCAAGUGAGAAUUUCCUCAGCUGUUUCAUGUUUCUAGUGAGGCUGUAAGCGACCCUCAAUUGAAGGACUCAUGCCGAAGUGGCUGUGUCGUGUGCUUGAGAUGACUUCUUGGCUAAUAGAAGCGUCCAAGUCAUCAUAAUAUAGGAAUAGCUGAAAACAAAUUCAGCUAAGCUUGAGUCGGGAGUCGUCUCUAAACUUGAGUGAUCUCCACUAAAGGUAGACACGGUACAACCAUUUCAUCCAAUUGGAAACAUUCCUCGUGGGUAAGUUUACAAACCCGGUUGCACUGCAAUUCGUAGUAGACAAAUCUACUCACCAACCCUACCACUCUGCCUGGAGGAGAUGUUAACCUGAAUGGCUUACAUCACAUUAAUCCAGGAAGUAUCAUUUCAGCCAAACAGGGGGGGGGGAUUGCCCAAAGUGUGCUGCUGAAUAACAUACUGUAACCAAUCGGUCAAUUGGGGUCUGAGGAGGAUGAAAGAACUUAGUGAGCACUUGAUCGCUGGUGCCGAAUAAGUUCAUAUCCUCCCACUCAAUGAAGAUUACCAUUCGAUACCGUUGACAUCAACAACGAACCAAAGUGCGUUCGAAUCCACCAUGAGAAUAUUUUCUUCGGAGAAUCUGACUGGCAGUACUGAAGCAAGUAGGUGCCGUACCUUCAUAACGCUUAAUGACCACGCGCUGGAGGAUUUCAUUCAUUUUCCCAGCUACUUCGCAGAAUGGAGAUUUGGCCUUCUUUGAACAUUACAUCUUCAUCGAGUUGUUGCAGUUUCCGCCGUAAAAGCUCUACCUCCAAACUCAUAUGUAGUGCCUCGCGGCUGAUGCUCUCAACCUCCUUCUCGCGCUCGUUUAGAGCCUUCUCAGUGUCGGCCAUACUUGUUCGUGCAAGCCCUUGCCAAGCUAACAACUGGUCUCGUUCCUUCGUUAACUCUUCGCAGCUCUGGAUCAUGGUACUAUACUCCGAUUGCCAGUGCUGCAAGUCGCCUUCCAGAGUUAAAGCGUAUUCUUGAAGCACGUCGUAGUUUAGAUUGCGCUCGUCCAUUUCGGUAGCCCAGUCAACCAUUUGUUGCUUAAAUUGCUCCAGGGCGCGGAUGGCCGCGUCCUUCUGUUUGUUGGCUGUUUUAACUUGGGCUUUUUGAUGCUCGGUUUCCUGAAUUUUGAACUGGAGAGAGCGUGCCAGGGUCUCGUUCUGGGCUGAAAGCCGCACAACACACGCGUUUUGUGCGCUUACUAUGGUAGCCAAAUCCAGUAAUUUGGGCUCAAGAAGAGUGAAGUUUAGAGAUCUUCUUGAUUCCAAUGCCAUUUUCUUGAGAUUGAGCAUAGACUUCAACAUCUGGUUGCUUGUGCUUAGGGCUUCCACACGCGUCUCCAGGUUCUGAACAUCAUUCUCUCUUGUUUGGACAAGUUGGCGCUCAACAUAGAGCUCUUUUUUCAGGGUUUCAUUUGCUGUCAUCACCUCUGCCAGCUUUGUAGCGGACGCCACUAUAAUCUCAUUCAUAGCUUGCCUCUGUGUUAUAGAGAACUUCAACUUAGCAGAUAGCAUUUUUACCUCCUCUUGAAGUUCUUGAACCUGCUCAACGCUGUCCUUACACUCGGCACAUUGGUCAUUGCGCCAGCACAAAAGCUUAGUCUCAUUGAACGAGCUGGAAUUAUCGCAGUCUUGAUGUUUAUACUCUUGAUGGUCGUCAAAAUUAUCAGUAUACGUGUUUGCCUCCUGGCUCGAACACAGUAGUUGCAACUUCUCUACCAAUUCUUGUAGCUCAAGUUUCUCCUCUUUGUGGCACACAACUUGUAGGUUGUUUGCAUACAACGUUGUUGUGGGUUCUCGGGAGCUCUCCAUCUCAUUCCUCUGCAGUUCAUGGAUAAGUACCUCUGCAUCUCUUACUUUAUAUGCUAAAUCUUGCAUACGAUGCUCCACUUCUUUGACUCUUUCGUUCAUGGCCUUCUCUUUCGAGUUCAUAGUUGCUACUUGAGUUAAAAGCCUACCAUUUUCAAGCUCCAUCUUUUUCAAUUUCUCCUCCAUUAACUUCCCAUCAUCAAAUCCAAAUUUGACAUAUUCUCCGCACAAGAGAUCUGAAAUUUCCACAAGUCUGGCUUUCGCUCCGGCUCGAAAGAACCCUCUUUCCCCAAAUUGCUUUGCCAUGGCUUCUGAUGCCUUGGGUUGCAGAAGUGCAUCACAAUCUUCAUCAAUAUGAAGAUUUGAGUUGAUCGCCAUUAGUGCUAGAACAGGUCGACUCACUAAACCUUCUUCGAAAUGCCUUACUUGUUUCUGACGGUUCAGUCAGAGAAUGGCAGCUGGAUUUGCCAAUACAGGUGAGAUGCAAAACGCGCCCAACUGAAAACUGCGACAACCGUUUCUCAGUAAGCAUGUGAAGCACAUGAAUACUGUAUAUGACAUGGUUGACUUUGACGCUGUAUAUCGUUUUAAACGAUUAAAUGCCAUUUGUUUAAGUUAUACAAUUGAGGUGUACUAAGACUAGAUCAUGAUCUCAGCUGUUGACGAGUGAAAAUUGUUCUGUAAGAUAAUAAAUGAAUUAACAGUUGUGAUGCUUUGUACACACACUGUAUAAUGUACUUGCCCGUGGCAAGCUGAAGCAUUAUUCAUGCAGUGGUCAUCAGAUUUCAACUUCUGAAGUAGAGUGAAGGAACCAACUCUUUCAUAAUCUGAGGACCACUGCAUGAAUAAACUGCAUUCUAGAUUAUGAAAGACUCCUGCAUGAAACCAACUCUUUCAUAACAGAAGAGGUGGACAAGAUUGCACUUACCUAUUUCAGGAAUGCGGAACCUCUCAGCAUCAAUUUCUCCAACAUCUUUGAAACCUCUGCAAAAUUCAACACAACGUCACCCGUCUUAAACUAGAAGUGAUUCGUAAGCAUGAUAAUUCCAAUGCAGCCGCCACUGAGUAGUAUCAGGGUCUCCAGUUGAUUCCUGAAAGAAGGCUGCCACCUAAGAAUGAAGGAGAAAGUCUUCAAGUGCCUUAUACUAAUGCCAGAAGGACAUUCUUCGGGACAAUCUAAAGAGGGCAACCACCAACUGGUUAACACUAGAGAAAAUCAAGGUAUCACAUGAAGAAACUAAAAAGUUGCACCUAGGCCACUUUGUCGUGUAAAUUGAAUACUAGAAUGCGGCCUCUACACAGUUUGACUUAGGAUGGACAGUCCAAGGAGGUUUGUAGCUAUUACACUGUCUAAAACUUUAAGCGCCUACUUAAUCCUCUUAAAUUAGACCUUGCGCCUGUGUUCUGUUCGGAAAUGAUCGGAUUAUACAAAUCCGUUUCGAAAGGGAUCCUGUGGCCAUGAUUAAAAUCGGUUCACACUUCGACUUGCGCAGGAGUAAAUCCUCAAGAGUUUGGCAUGAUAAAAUCCUCUUGACCUAUCGUUAACGGUAAGUUCCACAUCGCUCCUAUUCUUGCUAGUCCAAAAAUAUGGUCCGAGUUUGAAGAACCUCUUUCAGGACUUUCACAAUCAUGAGCUUCGGGAAUUUGAUGUCUAUUUACAAUUAACGGUCCAAAUAUUGUCUCCAAACGUUCCAGGGUGCUGCAAUUGUAGAUAGAGUCUAAAUGAAAGUCUUGAAUAUUUGGUUUAUGAAAAGGGGAUGAUUCAUGUGGAAUCAGAAGUUCCUACCCAGAACUAUUGUCUAAGAAAAUUUUGACGCGCAAAAACACGCUAGAUAUUUUAUAGAAUUUUGUUUGUCUCUCUUGCCAAGUGUGCACAAAUUCGUGAAGAGAAACUCACAGAAAGUAAAUAGCCACUACGACAUAAGCUCAACUGCAAUCCCUCAGUCGCCUGCAGCACCACCAUUUCACUAAUCCCGUCACCUCUGUUAGCUGCAGACAAACAAGAGUAGCACCUCCAUGAGAUUUUGCGAGGCAAUAACGCACGGAUCACUACAUUAAAAACCUAUUCAGUACAUUGAAGAAGCCGAGAUGUGAUGACCUUUAUUAAAGUCGAAACAGAACCGUCGAGAGCCAUGUAGCUUCUUCGACACCACCGGACCUAACUCCAAGUCAAAAUUCCACUACACAGCAAGCAACACUACAAUCCAUCAACCUCGCCAAAGGACCAAACAACUCGUCUGAAGAUUUUCCUUGGAAUUUAGUCUUCAGUGCAUCAACUAUCAAUUCUUACACGACAUCUUGAACUCACCUCUCCCAACUCUUGGUAAACUCUGAUGACAAGGACCACCUCCUCCCGCCAGGUUUCAAAAUUAUGCGCCUUCCUACCUCCAGUGAACUGACGGUAACAAAUCUUCCAAAAUUUCGCCGCUAUCGCACUGAGUGACUACGACCACUCGUGUACAUUUCGAUUAAGUUCAGUAAACGCUUGUCUUUCUUCGACUGAGUAAAUAAAUUUAAGUGGACACACCUAGGAGGAAAGUGGGGGGAGGAGAAAGCAGAGGGAAUUCUGUUGACGCCGCAGUGCUCCCUCACAGCCGAAGUGCUACAAUCCUACGCUGGGACCACGGAUACCUUCACGCCUUGAUAGAGCUACUGAAACUUCGGCUGACCUUCAAAAACGUAACACUACUUCAGAUGCAGGAAACGAAUCCUUGGCAUGUAUUCGCAAUUGCGUGAACUGCAAGACCAGCACUUACUCGCGUUCCACCGUAAUGAAACAGCGAAGAGCUUCAAAAAUCUCAACACCAACUGUUACGUUCCGUUACAAACCACCAUCAAAGUGGACGUCAAGGUCGAAACGCCUACGCUCAACCAAACUCUUCACAAUCGCCCUACCUCUACGACUUCACUUCGAUGCUCAGGUAAUAGAUAAUUGAGGGCUUAAAGCAACAGUUGUCUCACCUCAACGGCUCAAGGGCAACUCUCGGGCAAGAUGAAAACGCCACGGUUCAAGAAAGCGAAUCAGUCUCUUCAACAUGCUCGACACCGACGUGAGCAAAAGUAAAAUUGCUUACAACUCUCUCAAUACGACACAAAAUCAACUCCACUAUCAAAAAAGCAAAAAGAUGAAACGAAAUAAAUAAAUAAAAAUAAAAAUAAAAUGAUGCCAACCACAGCUACACUCCACGCACGCUCUCAUUCCUUAGACAAUUCCUAAGUCCUUGUGCGACAAAUCCAAUCAGUACGAAUCAUCGUCCUCCUCCUCCUCUAAAGAAAUGCGAAUGCAGCAUGUAAAGCCAAAACUCUCAUCACUGAGCGGAAUUUGAUUUUUUUUCGGUGUGCUAAGUAUGCUGGUGACUUACUAGAGUCAAGCAUCCGCGGAGUUAUUUUUUUCUACCGAAAUCACACACGGAGAGUGUCCCGACGACGUUUUCUCGAAACCCUGGCAAUGCAAUGCAAUUUAAUGGAAUGCUAUGCAGCUCUCUUUCUCGGACACCGGUCAGUUCAACAACGAAGAGAAUCUCUCUACGUCGCGGCAUCCUUCUUCUUCUUCUUCCUCGUCCUCUUUCCAUGGUUUUCCCUUCCCAUGGAUCUUCUUUUGUAGUGUGUGCUACUUUUAAGCUGUAGUUGCAUUCAAUUGGUAUUCAGUAUUUCUAUCAUCCUAUUUAUUCAUGAGCAUGAAGUAUAUGGGAAUGAAUUAACAUUUAUAUCAAAUUUACUUACACUUUGUUACUUCAAGCAUUAUCUUUUUUUUAUUCCGUAGAUUAUCUAAAAUCACACUACUUUUCAAAUACGUAAUCGAUACAACAGGUGUGUUUCAUUUUUUUUAAAUGAAUUGUGUUUUUAGAACAAGAUUUUGUUGUGGACUUUAUCUGUUUAAACUUAUGUUAUUCUUACAUGUAUAGAUAAAUAUAGAUAUAUAUAUAUAUAUAUAUUCAUAUUUUUUUGUCAAUGUGUCCACUUGUAAGAUAGAAAAUAAAUAAACAUGGAUAUAUGUAUAUAUAUAUAUAUAUAUAUAUAUAUAUAUAAUCUUAAAAUAAGAGUGCUGUUCUUAUGCUUUUCCUUAAUUUUUGGCUUGAGAACAUAAACAAUGCCUCUAACCAUUCUUUGCAAAAGACCAAAUGUUGACAAAACUAUUGAUUGGCCUUUGCUUGACCAUGGCACUCAUCAUCCAUAUUCCAAAAAGACAUUACGCAAAGGAAUCUUUGAAAGUAACCAAAGCAAAUAAUAAUAAUAUUAAAUAAUAGACAAAAAAGCUGACCCAUGAGCAUUGCCACAUCAGCACAUGGGGUUUUAAAAAUAACAUGGUGAGGAGCUACAUCAUCUGGAUCCCCAUUAUUGGAAAGUUUGAAUAAGCAAGACAUGGGGGCCACCCUUACUCCUUACUCUCUCCCCUACACAGUUCAAUACAUAAAUUCAGUUUGUGAGCCCACGAAUUAUACAAAUAUAUACACAUCUACAACAUAUGUUCCCCAUGAAGAAGUGGACUGAUUGCUUUAAAAGGGGAGAGGGAGAGUCCUUGGCCAUGGGGCAUGAUUUGGGCACAUAACCAAGAACAUUCUGAUGCUGUAUUAUUGCCCCCCACAUCUCUAAAGCCAUCAGGGGAAGGGGGGGGGGGGCAUCUUCAUAUAAAAAAUGCCAUAUCAUCCAUUGAGAAUCUAGGUGCAUGGUCCCCCCCCCUACUGAACCCUAAAUGUGGGAGUUUUGGUGCCUGAGGAACCAGGUUCCAAAGGUUGAGAGCCAUCCCAGGGUCACGGUCAUAGGGGGCUUUGUUAUGGUGACGGGUUCAGGGGCUCUGAAUGGGAACGUUUUAGCAAGGAGAUGAAAAUUGUAUCAUAGAUGUGGUACCUUUGCUUUUGAAAACCUUUACUCUACAAAGAUAGAUGGGAUAUAGGGUUUUUGGAUAGAAGAUAGACUCUUAUUCAUAAGUUUUAAGAGUUGAUCAUAAAAUAUUGUAUGUGUUGCUAGUGUUGCAAGUUAUAGAGCCAAUUUUUCAUUGCUUGGUAAUUUGUAUGUCACUAUAUAUAUAUAUAUAUAUAUAUAUUUAAAAUUAAUUUUAAAUAAAAAAUAAACCAUGAGAAAUUCAGUGUUAAAUUUCUUGUAUGUUUGGUUACUAUAAGAGGAGAUAAUCUGGUGGGAGAAACAGGAACCCAUAAUGCUUAUGGUUGAAUGGCAUGAUAAGAGAUUAUUUUAUUUUAGUAUGUUAUUAUUGUUAUUACUAUUUGGCUUUGAGUAUAGCCAACUUUUAUUUAUUUAUCUUCCAAAGAUCAUUCUUUGAUAGGUUAAAGCAAAGGUAAUAAAAAUGCAAGAAGAUUUUUAGACAAAGAUUCUCUAAGAACAAAACAAGAAUAGCAAUAAAAUAACUCUAUGAAUUUUUAGAAUUUAAAUGUACAUGUAUAUAUAGAUAUAUCUAUAUAUCUAUUCCUUGAAGAUAUAUAUGAGAAAUCUUUGAAGAUAGCUACUCACAAAAAAACUUUUUAUGAUAUAAGUUCAUCAAUUAUAUAGAUUCUUGAUUUGUUAUAGAAGAAUUUAAAAAAAUAUAUAUAUAUAAAAAAAAAAAGUAUGGACAAGAAAAAAACACAAAAUACAUGAUUUUUUUUUAUUACACUAUACAUUAUUUAUAAAAAAUAAAAAAUAAAAACUCGUCUAUUAGUUUAGUCAGUGUAACUAUGAAUAUACAUUUAUAAAUAUUUAUUAUUUAGCAUAUAGAAAAUAUAAAGAUAUAUUGGAAGAAAAUGUAAAUUAAUCAAUAAUGAUAUUAAAAUCUUAAAUAAAAAAACAUAGUGUAGUAAUAUAAAAUAAAAAAAUGGUUACCUUUGAUAAGAUGAACAUAUUUCAAUAUAUAUUUACAUCUUUACAUAUGUAGGGUAUUGUUAAUACCACCAUAGUUUUUGCUACUAUCAUCAGAACCUGCUAUCCACUUAACAUAUUUGUUUAGAUUUUUUUUUUUUUUUUUUUUUUUUUUUUUGGUUCCAUCAAUUCUUUUUUGUUAAUAUUUCCAAUAUGUUGUUGUUUUUGUUUUUGUUUUUGUUUUUUUUUUUUUUUUUUCAAAUUAUAGAAAAAAUAAAAUUACCCUAUACCAUAAUUUUGAGAAAAAAUUACAAAUCAAAUAAAGCACAUAUUACCAAUUGAGCAAAUGGCUUUCAAUAGCCACAAUAACAAGUUUUCCACUACCCAACUUGUUUGCAAUGCUAAGGUUCUCUAGGCUCUCCUCAAAAAACAAAUACAUAUAUAUUAAGUGUAUUCACACUUACACCCAUACACAACCCUAGCAACUAACUCACUAUGCAUGCAAUAUGAAUCAAGAUGGAUGAACCACUCUUCUUCAAUACAGAAGUGGGACCAAUGUUGGGUUGUUUUUUCCAUUGUUCUAAGCACCCAAUUGUUCUUAGAAAAUAAUAGCUUGGUAUCCGUGCCAGGUGGAUGUCUACAUCAGACUACCCAUCAUCUACAGCCUCCUAAUGCACAUGCUUUCUUUUUUUUUUCUUUUUUUCUUUUUUUUUUUCCUUUUCAGGGCGUGGAGUUUAAAAGGAGACACAUUAUGAUUACAAGUUCAAUCCAAGUCAUGGAACCAAAAGUAGUUCCCCAAAAAAGUUUCCCUUCAAAAACCACAUGAUGUGGUUUUUCUGCAAUGUCCACUGUACAUUGUAAUACAAAUCCUUUUUCAUAUUUAUUUAAUAAGAGGAAGAAGAAGGAGAAUAGGAUAACAUGUAGUGAAGUUGAAUUUAUUCAGGAAAUGGGACACCUGAGGUGAGAAGCAUAAUAGUCCCCUGUUGACAGUGAGGUGGUGGUGGAAGGUGGUCGUUGACCACGUCAGCAGAUGACAUGGCCAAACUGGGGAGCUGCCAACUGGACUGACUUGUGAAUCCUGUAUGCUGACUUGUCCAACUGAAUAUAAAUAUAAAUAUAUAUAUAUAUAUAUAUGUAUAUAUAUAUACACAAAGAUAGAUAUAUUUGUUUAUUAAUAAUAAAUAGUGUCUCUUCUAUGAUGAUGAUGAGGCACUCAGUGUUCUCUUUACAUUGCACAACAAUAUUGGCAAUACUCCCUCUUCCCUUUGAGUGAUGAAGAUGAGGAUGAUGAUGAUGAUGCUGCACAGUGGACCAAGAAUUUUGAUUCAACAUUAUCUUGGUGACAACACCAUUCCUAUGCUUAAAUAUAUAUAUAUAUAUAUAUAUAUGUAGAAUGAAACUGUAUGUGUAGUUUUUUAAUUUAUUUAUUUUGAUCACUACACAUACUGCAAAGAAAAACUGGCAAAAGGAAGAACAUUAAUAAACUAAAUAAAAACAAAACUUCUAAACAAUGAUUUUGUAUUUAUUUCUGAAGGAAAAAAAAUACUAAAAUUACAUUCAUAACAGAAAAAUCAAAACAAAUAAAAGAAUCAUACUUUCAUGAAAAUUCAUUUAAAAUAAUUUGACAUUCAAAAAACAAUAUUAUGAAGUAUAAAGUCCUUCCUAUAGAAAAAAUAAGAAUAAAAAACUACUAUUGCACAAAGAUCAAGUUUAUUAUAUAGAUAUUAUAUUACGUAGAUAUUAUAUAUUAAAUAUAAUAUAUUAUUUAAAUUAAAUUAAAAUAUAUGACUUAUUUAUUUUUUUAACUCUAAUUGCUUGUUACUUGAUUUUUUUCCAUAAUUUAACUUUAUUACCCUUUUAAUUUGACUCUAAACAAGUCAAUCAAUAUACUUAUACUGGCUUAUAAAGUUAUCUUCAUAUAUAUAUUUAAAGUAUAAAAGUUCUUUUAAAUUUUACAUUUAGUAGAUUUUUAUUGGAUAUAUUUUAAUUUCAUUAUUAUGUAAAAUUUGUUUCACUAUAUCUUUUAUUAAAUAUAAAUUCCACUAUAUUUAUUUCACAAUACCUUUUAAAUCAUAAAUGAAAAUAUUUAUUGCAUUUUUCUUUUUUAUCCUCAAAAAACUUCUUAUUGAUAAAUGAAACUAAAUGUUAUUAAUUAAUUAUAUAACAGAAAAAAAUCAUUAAAAAAUCAAACUAUAAUAAGAUCAAUACUUUUUAUUUCUACUAAAUAAUCUAAAGAUUUUAAAUCAAUAUUUGUAUAAUUUCUUUUAAAAAAUUAUUUUAUUAGCUUAAAUACAUUUUAUUGUAAAAAUAAAAAAAUAAAAGUAUCUUUAUAAGAAUAUUUUUUUGAAAUAAUAUUUUUUUGAAAAAUUAUAAUUUGACUUAAUUAAUGCUAUUAAAGAAAUCAUGACAUCUAUUUUGAAAAUUCAACAAUAUAAACCAUAAUUGACUACCCUUUUUUUCCAUAGAACUUUAUAUUCAAAGUUUUUAAAAUUCACAUAGAAGAUUUAUUAAAUUAAUUAAUUUACUGAUUUUAUAGAAAAUAAUUAUCAAAAAUUUACUAGACCACAAUCAACAUAUCGACAUAUAGACAUACAAUCAACAUAUAGACAAAACAAUUUGUCAUAAUUAAACAAAUUUUAUGGUUUAUGUACAAAUUUUUUGUUUUUUAAUUAAAUAAGAUUUUAUUUGAUUAUAUCUACAAACUAUUACUUUCCUACUUCUUGGCCAACCAUAUCUUACAAGAUAAUAUAUGUCAAGCUCCAACAAUUAGAAUGACCAAACUAAAGAACUUAAAUGAAACUUGUUCUAUUAUCUAAUAAUAUUUUGAUAUAUUCUCAUAUAGUGUUUUUACAAAAAUUUAAUUUAAUAAAUAUAUAUACCUAUUAAAUUAUUAUAAUUAAAUAUUUUUAAUGUAUAUAUGUAAUAUAUGUAUAUGUAUUAAAAUAUUAUAUUUUAUCUAAAAAUAUGCUUUUUUAAUAUAAUAAUUUGAAUGUCUAAAUUACUUAUUAGCAUUGUUGAAAAAAAAAUCAAGUAUCUUUUAGGAUUAAAAAAUAACAAUAUUCCUUCAUAUGUUUUUAUAUUGAAAAAGAAAAUACUAUUUUACUUGAAUUUUAAAACUUUGAUACAUAUUCCAAUGUGCUAAAAUUUUAUUGUACUAUAUCUAUUUUUCACAGUAACAACUCUCAAUUUAGUACCAAAUUAAAUCUCUUAAAUUAUAUUAUUCUUACUAUUUUUAGUAUUCUAUGUUCAAUUUCUAAUGAUUAGAAUAAAUUAAAAGAAAAUAUGAAAUAAAUUUCUUUAGUCCUUUUUUAUGUAUCAUAACAAAAUUACAAAAAAAGCACAAAAUUUGUCUACUUUGUUCUAGUUUCUAUACAUUGGUACAAAAAAUAUAUUUAUAUAGGUUUAAUUUUUAUCUAAUUUGUACAUUUAGUAAAUUUCUAUAUAUUGAAUUAUUUCGUCUUUAUCUUUUACUUAUAAUUUUUAUUUUAUGUAAUACAAAUUUUAGUGAUAAUAGCUUACAUACCUUAUUAUGGAAUAUUUAUUGUAAACAAACAAACUUGAUGCAACUUAAAAAACAAGUUGUCUAAAAUUUAAUUAUAACUUUUUUAAAAUAGUUUGAUGAAAAUAAUCUUUUAUUUAUUCAUAUCUUCUAAUACUUUUUCAAAGCUCUUUGUAGCUUUUAUUGAACUAUUUAGAGGAUAUAAUAUAAUCUACUAACAAAUUAUAAAGAUUUCUAUUUAAAUUACCAUUCGUUUUAUUGUUAUACAAUAAAAAAGAUUUGGCAUCAAUAACAAAAAAAUUUAAAAGAUUAAUGCUCAAAUUUAAUAUUGUUUUUCAAAAAAUAACAUUCUACAUAUAUAAUUCUUUGAUAGAAAAUUUUUGAAAAUUUUGCAAUUCGACUAUGAAAAAUUGCUUAACAUCUCUACAUAAUUAAUAUUUUUUUUAAAAAAAUUGAACUAUUUUUUUUGUAAUUUAAUUUAUUAUAAUAUAUAUUAAAUAGAAUAGAAUAAUCUUAACCUAAAUAAAUAAAUAAAUAAAUAUUGAGUAAAUUGAGAAAAAAAUAUUUAAUUUUUUUGUUAUUUAUUUGUAAAGAUUAUUCAAAAAAUAAUCUUAAUGGAGCUAUUUUGUAGAGAAUAAUCUUAAUAAAAAAAUAUUUUUUAAAAUUUCCAAAUUGAUCCAACUAUAAUUUAAUUGAUAUUUAUAAUUAACAUUAUUUUUAAAUGUCUUCAAAGAAAAAUACAUAAGAACAUACAUUAAGAGGUGGUUUUUAAUUUUUUAAUUUUAUACAAAAACUCUAAACUAUAAGUUUUUAUUCGCUCUAUUAGUAAUUAUUUUUGUUCAAAGUUAAGUUUUUAAAGAUAGAUUUAAAUAUCCAAAGCUUUGUUGGAAUUUAUUUUUGAAGAUAGUGUCUUUGUCUGCAGCCAUACUUAAAUUAUACAACAUGAACAAAACAUAAAAAAUAAAAUUAAACAAAACAUAACAAAAAAUAAACAAAACAUAGUUUUUUUUUUUUUUUUUUUUUUUUUUUUCUUUCAUUGGUAUGUCAUGUUCCAAGAUGAAAGAAAUGUUCAUGACCUUAAAUUUCAGAGUGGCCCAUGACAUAACUAUUUCAAUUCUGAACACCCCCUCUUCCUCCUUGUCACAACUCUCUCUUUUGUAGGCCCAAAGGCCCCACAAAUACACAAAAAAGACUGAGAAUUUUAUAAAAGUGGUGGCCCAGCUCUAGUGGCUAUGCCUUAUCCCAACCAACCAACCAACCAACCAACAAACCCACCUGUUGUUGGCAGGGCAUGAUAGAUACAAAAGGAGAAAAAGAAGAGCAAGUGCCAUUCACUCAUUUCUUAUAGAUAUAUAUAUAUAUAUAUAUAUAUGUGUGUGUGUGUGUGUGUGAUUUUGUGUUUGAUCUUACAGCACGCACCCAAACUACGGAUGUAUGCAAGUAUGGAAAAGGCAACAAGUUGAAUCAGAAGGCAACAAUCUCCUCUCAUUGGAAUUUCAUCUCCUUCCUCAAGCUCAAAGCAAACCCAUAGCACUUCCCCCAGUCAGCAAUAAGCCCUAAUGCGAAAUCAACAAAAGCUUUAUCCCUAACUUAAACUUUCUGUCUAGAAAUGAGUAGCAGUCCCAGUUCUCCUCUAUGAUUGCAUGCCCAGUUAGUCCCCAAAAGAGAAAGAAACCAAAAUAAGAAUAACACAAAAAAGGCAUGCUCCCCUUUGGUUGUAUCCAUUUCAUCCAUUAUUUAUUCUCCCACCCCCCCCCCCUCCAGCUCUUGUCCACAACCCCAAAUACAUACAUAUGUGUAUAUAUAUAUAUACACUCUAUCUUAAUAAGUUGAACUUUAAUAUAUGUAUGUAUGUAUGUGUACAUUAUAUGUGGAGAAAUGGAGGGGGGACAGGGAGUAUCAGUUUUAUUAUUACACUGCACAGGGUUGAGCUGGGUUUAUGUAUGUAUGGGGUCCAGAAAAGGUAAGGUAUGGAGGAGGAGAAGGAGGAGGUAUAUAUAUAUAUAUAUAUAUAUAUAUAUAUCACACUCAGGAGGGGGGUUGGGAUAGUGUGCCACUAUUAUCAUCAUGUUAUCAGUGAGCCAAAGCAAAAAAGUAAAAGUAAAAAGAAGAGAGGCUUGGUCCACAUUCAAGGAGAGCUCAAUCAUCUCUCUCUCCUGCUUAUUAUUAAGAAAAGAAAAAGAAAAGCACAGAAAGAAAAAUGGGAACCUCAUGGUCUCUCUUCCCCUUUGUUCUUAUUGGUAUUGUUGUUGUCCUAUGUGGCAAAAGGUGGAUGGAAGUGGGGGAGCCUACGUGGAGUUGGGUGUGCUGACUCACCAUUCUAUCUUUUGGACCAAAGUCUCUAGAACCUUCUGGAUGGCUCUUAACCUUCAACUUAGUCAUGUUUUAGUCAUGUUUCUUGAAUUUUAUACAUGGAUUUAUUCUAUUUAAUUAGAUUUGUGCAUCGUUUUGUGAAAUAUGAACAAGAAUAGAAUAUCUGUUUUCAAAGAAAUAUAUAUAUAGAAAGAUUGUAGGUGUGUUUUACAAAUAGAUUACUAAAAUGAUUGUUUUUGUUGCAAUUUAUAAAUAAGAUUUGAAGCUUUGUGUCCUCAGUGUUGUCAUUGACUUCAGAAUAUAGCUUUAAAAUGUUGUUGUGACAUAACAAUGUCAACAUUGAACACAUAUAGAAGAGAUUGUAAUAAAAAGAGAAUUAUGGUCUAUUUGGUCUUGACGUAAAAAAUGGUUAUUAUAGACUUCUUUAAAGACUUGCAAACUACAAGUACAAAUUUAAAAACCACACUUAUACCAGCACUUGGAAUCUGUGAGAUAUUUGGUGGUAUCCUAUGCAUUUUGUUCAGAACUUGGAUAUUAUUAAUUACUACCUACAAGCAAGGUACAACUUGGUGAUACUUCUUAGAUUAAAUUUGUUGUGCUAUUUUGAAAUUGCAAUCUUAACCUUGUCUUUGUUGCACUAUCUCUUAGAAUAUUUUUAAACAUGAUUUAAGUUCUUUAUAUUAUGCUUAUAAUAUGUAAAUAUCAUUAGAUAGUUUAUUGAUUCUUUUAUGCAAUGUCUCUAAAGUUGCCUAGAUAGUAUUUAAUUGUAUUAAAAUUUCUUUAGAAAGACUAUUUUUUGAAACAAAUAUGUCAUUUUGUUUGUUGUGUAUUUGUUGCACUUAUGGAGUUUAUAUCCUUUAGUAUUUGACUCAAAGUUGAGUAAUUUAAAGUUGAGUGAUUUAUUUUUAUGUACCCAUUGCUUAUUUUUGGAGUACAAUUUUUUGUCAUUUGUUUUGAAUUCAUUAUAGAUAAAAUUCCUAUUGCAUUUUUUACCAAGACAAUUGUAAAGAGCCAAUUUAUGCACUUUAAAAAUAAAUGUUUUAAAGCAUCAAUAUCUAUCAUUAACAACUCUUAGACCUUAAGAAGUAAAAGCUAAAAGAACUUCACUUCAUCCAAGGCUAUAAAAUAGAAAAAAAAUUCUUAAUACUUAAAAAGAUUUGUCUAAUUAUUUUUAUUUAUGUAAUAAAUGCACAACGUUGUACUCUAAAAAUUCAUGAUUCUUAUCGAUCUUAUAGUAUAUAAAGAAAUAAUUCAUGUUAUAACAUGAAUAAGUAUUAUAAUUCUAUUAUAAGCACCAUGAGAGAUUCUUAAAUUCUUGGUGCAUCUAACUACAAAAAUUAAUGUAUUUUAUUUAGUAGAAAUCUAUAUAUGAGUAAUAUCCUACAAUGUAGAUAAAAUGGCUUGGUUAACAAAAGAAACUAUUUUAAAAUGCUAAUAAAAAAAUUAAGCCAUCCAUAAAAAAUUGUAAAUUUUGGGUUUAAAAUUGAAAAAAAUUAAGUGGUGAAGAAAUAUUAUGCUUUCCGCAAUAUAUAUAGACACACACACACACACACAUAUAUAUAUAUAUAUAUAUAUAUAUAUAUAUAUGUAAUGUGGGUCACAAUAUUUUUAUUUAUAUAUUCUUGAUAAAAAUUCACUCUUCUAAGAUAUUUGAUAAUUUUCUGAAACAAAAUUUAUGUUCUUUUGAGAUUAGUUGAGAUUCAUGGGGUGUUGUUCUAUUGAACUAUGCCCAAGCAUGUUUGAACACCAAAGUAUGUUUUGCCUGAUUGUUUAAGAUUAAUUAUCUUAAUAUUUAGAAUGUGAAGUAGAUAGAUGUUGUGAAUAAUACAUGAUCUAACAAUUAACUUUUUUUUUUUUUUUUUUUUUUUUUUUUUUGGAGCAUGAAUACUAAUGUUCAUUUAAGCCAAUUGAAAAUUAGAUUUAAGGUUCACACUUUGUAGUAGUAAUUUUUUUGGUUUUGUACAUGUAUGGGUCAAUAUGAAUAUAAAAUCAGAUUAUUAUGUUUUAUUAUUAGUUUUUACACAAAUAAUAAUUCUAUUUGUAAUUUUUAAUUAAGUUUUAGAAUUUUUAUUUUUAUUUAUUUUUAUUUUAUUAUAUAAGAAUUGAUACAAAAGAGUUCAAAAUGUUUCACCUAUUAAUAUUUAAGAUUGGUUUGCAGCCAUAUGACCAAAUAAAUACAUUUUAUUUUUGUUGUGAAUCUCAUAUUAGAAGUCAUUAAUUUAUAUAAUUACAAAAAUAUAAUAAAAUUAGAGCAUAUAAUAAAUAAAUACAUAAAAGACCAAGUUAUACUUUUAAUUAUUUUAUAAAAAAAUAUCAAUUUAUAUUUAGAAUUAUUAUUAGAUUUUAAGUUAGAUAAAUCAAGUAAUCCAAUUAUGAUAUUGCAAACAGCUUGCAUAGUAUAUCCUAGUUUUAUUCUAUAUCUAACAUAAUAAGAUAAUUUUAAAUCAAUACUGUCUUUGAAUAAUUCUAAAACAAAGUCAUUAAUUUAUUAAUAUUUGUUGUAAUUUCUUUUUCUCAUCUAAAUCCAUGGUACUAAUUGAUGGGUCAACUUCUUUAUAAGCAUAGUGUUUUUUUAUUAUGAAAAGUCUAAAAUCCUACUUAAUAUAGUAAUUAUUAAUUAUUUCUUUUUGAGUUAUCACGAAUCAAAAGUUUAUAUGCUUUUCUAUCAUAGAAGUUAUAUCUUUUAAUAGCUAUUUAAAAAAUUAUAAACUUAUUAUUCCAGGUUUAUUGUAGGUUUUUUAGUAUUUUUUUAGAUCUAAAUUGUAUUUAUAAUACUAUUUAAUAAUCAUUCUCAAAUUCCCAAAAAAUGACAAAAUAUUUUUGAUGUUUUCUUAGUAACAUAAAAUUGUAAUAUUUUAAUUACUUAUUCAUUUUAAUUAAACUUUCAGUAAAUAACUUCAUAUAUUAGAAUUUAUUUUUAGAAGACCUAUUACAUUUAGAAGAUAAUUGGUAUUUGGUUGUGAUUGGUCUAAAUUUAGAGUCUUGCAAACAAUGGUAAAUUGUUUUGUAAUAUUUAAAAGACUUACAAACAGUGAUCAAUUAUACAGAUGUGUAUUACAUAUUAACAAAAAGUAAAUUAUAAACUAUGUUAAUUUAGAGAGAACUACAAUAGUUACUAAAAACUUUAAAGUUAUAUUAUCUUUAUUUAAAAUAUAUGUACUUGCAAAAAAAUUAAAGCAUAGUAGCAAAGUGUGUUGUAUAAAGUUUUAAUUUAAAUAAAAAUAUUUAAAAUAAUUUAAAUUUAUUUAAAAAUAGUAAUAUAUGAUAAAAUAAAUAAAAUAAUAGAAAUAAACUUAAGAAAGUUUACUAUGCAUUUAAUUCAAGUAAAGAGAUAUAUUUUUCUAAUAUUGAAGUGGUUUUUAGUCAUAUACGGUAUACAACAUUAUUUAAGUAUUUUUACAUUUACUAGGUAUAAUAUGGAAGUAUGUACAUGUUUUGAGUUUUCAUUCAACCUAGUCAAAUUUAGAAUCUGAUAUUGUUGACUUGAUUAUUUUAACAUAAAACAUUAAAAAUCUAUAAGCUUAUAAAAUAGCUUAAAUUUUGAUAAAAACAUUUUUAAAUAUUAUAGUUAUUUUUUAUGCAUGAUGUUACAAAGCCAAUAAAAAUGACCAUUAUUUCAAGUAGUAGAGAAUUAAAUACUACAAAAUUAUUAGUGUUCGUAAAUUAUAAUACAUGGAAACUUAUGACAUAAAAAAUACAGAAAAAAAAAAUUCAGAAUUUUAUUUAUGAUUUGGAAUAGAACAAAAGUGUUUGCAUAUUUAAGGUGAAUGAUAAGUGAUAAGAGAAGUUUCAUCAAUUUCUUAAAAAAAAGUUUGAAAUUUGGAAUUAAAAUUAUUAUAUCAAAAUUUAAAUAUAUAGUUUUAUGUCUUAUGAAUUUAAUUCCUCUUCAAAGAAUAAAAUUACUAUAAAAUAAAACUUUACACUUUACAUACCAAAAAACAUUAAAAUUAUAAGUCACAAUAUCCAUACUAUUAUACCAAAAACAAAGAAAAUAUUAUAUACUUAGCACUUUGAGUGAUAUAUUUAGAAAAAAUUAUAAUAGAUAAUUAUAUAUAUACAUAACUUAUGAUUUGUGCAACUUAAAUAAAAGAUUAGUUUUUGGUUUAAAGAAACAAGACAAGUUCAAAGUGUGAUUAAAUUUAAGGUUUUAUUCUUAUUAAAAAUUAGAAAGAAAAUCUUAAAAGGUCUAUAAAUAUUAAUAAAGUUAAAAAAAGAGAUUAAUGUUUUUAAGAAAAGACUCGAAAUUAAGUAAGAAAAUGAAAACCCUUUAAAUAAUGUUUUGAUUGUUUGUAUCUGAUUAUUGUUUGUCACGGAUACAGAAAUAUAGACUCGAGAUCUAACAAGAAGUUCAAGAAGAACUGGCAAGAACUAGAUUAAUCAGAUGAAUACAUAAACAACACCAGAGAGGUGAGCUAGAGUUCUAAGAGAUGUGAUGUCGAGACUGAAGAACUCUUCAACCUCGAUUCCAAUAUAUACUCCUAUUUAGGAAGCUUCUAAAGCAACUUCUACCAACUAGGAAGCUUCUAGAAGGUUCCAGAGACUUGUUUCUAGAAGGUUCUAGAAACUUGUCUCUAGAAGGUUCUAAGGACUAUGUCCCUAACAUCACCCCCUCCUUUAGCUUUGAGGUCUCUGAGAAGUAAUAUUGUUGUUAAUCAGUACCAACGCAAGAAAAUGAAGAUCUGUCGCAUAACGUCUGCUAUGAACUCCAAUUGUUGUUCACGAGGCAAGUGGUUCAUCGGCCCUUGAAGCCAACGGUAGUGGCCCACUCCUUCAUCUUUUGACCAAGCAUGAACUUCCGUGUCCUCAUUGUGAAAUUGUCCUACAAACACGCCUUCUGGCUGACCAUUGUAAGUAGGUUCUAACUCAAAUACAAUCACCAGUGAUCGGUUACUCGAUAUCCUCCAUUGUCGUCGUGGUGUAGGCGGUUCUUCAUCUCGGGGUCGCCUUCGUGAGCUAGUCGGUUGAGAUAAUCUGACUGACAUAGUAUCUAUCUCUUGGCUAUCCAUAUCAGAAGACCAAACUAUGGCUACCGAAAAAAUUCUACUUUAUCUUGGAAAAAAUAACUACAUCAAUUGCGAAUUUUGGUGGUGUUCUCCCCCUUUCUUAUAUUCUUGGGUGAGCAAGCUUUAAAAGGAAGCUAUCGUCGAACCGGCUUAGGUUUAUGAAGAUGUUGUUGAUGAAACUCUUGUGCCUUUUGCGUCACAUUGGCAAGAUUUUCAGCUGGCUCCCAUGUUUGCUCAUUAAUGUCGUAGCCGCUUCAAUGAACAAGAUAUUCCAACUUGCCCCACCUUCGCCAUGAAUCCAGUAUCUUUUCAACCUUGUAUUCUUCAUGGUUCUUGAUCUCAAUACUAGGUGGUGGACAUUGCACUCUUUCAAGAAAAGACGACUCUCGAUAAGGCUCCAACAGAAAAACAUGAAAGACUGGAUGUACCUUCAUAGAAGCCGAUAAUUCCAGAUGGUAUGCCACUGGAUUGAUUUGCUUCUGAAUGAUAAAUGGUUCCAAUCUUCGAUAGUCCAACUUAUCACAUAGUUGCUUGGUCUUGAUAUUCCAUGGUCGAUGUGGAAUCGGCAAUGGCUGUAGGAGUCCAUAAGGAUGAUGCCGAGGAUUCUUGGAUCUUGAACAGAUGUCGGAAGAGAGGAUAAAAUCUUUCACAUCCUUCCACAUUUGGGGCCACCAAAAAUCUCGAGAAAUAAGCUCCAAGAUCUUAUUGAAUCCAAAAUGUCUCGCAGUUGGAAAAUCGUGGCGAGAUUGAAGAACUCGGAGUCGUGCUGGUCUUUUUGGGAUAUACAACCGCUCCUCAAAGUAUAAAAGAUCCCCCUCCACCUUGAACUUGUCGUCAUUGGUACGCUGCUUAAUAUCAAUGGCUACUGAAUCUUCAAUGGUCACGGCAUGUACCUGAUUCAGGAAGUCAGCAUCAAUUGGCACAAUAGUAGUGCAAAGCCAAAAUUGCUCUGGCUUCAACAACGUCGUACAUUGUUGAUCAAAUGCUACUUCUCUAGCCUUUGGUACAGGAUACGAUCUCCUCGAUAAGGCAUCAGAUAGUCUUUGCUGCUCUCUAGGUCGAUAAGUGAUAACAAAAUCGAACCUAGAUGGCGACAUACUCCACCGAGCUUGACGUCGAUUUAGAACUCGAGCCAACAUGAAAUACUCCAAAUUCUUGUGAUCUGUGUAUACGGUCAGUGGGUAUGCAGCUCCUUCAAGAAAAUGAUGCCAUUCUUGGAAAGAAUCCAUUAUAGCAAGAAGUUCCUUAUCGUGGAUCUCAUAAUUGAUUUCAGCAGUAGGGAACUUUCGAGAAUAGAAUGCAACCGAAUGGAGCUUCUUUUCUUCUCCCAUUUGUAAAAGUACAGCUCCCAAAGCAAAAUCCGAAGCAUCAGUUUUUAAAUAAAAGGCCUUUGUAAAGUUUAAAUGUACCAAGAUUGGAGCCGUAGUAAAUGUGAUCUUCAGGUCUUGAAAUGCCUUCUCCGCUAGAGGUCCUCAUUCCAGCUUAUCCUUGCAUGUCAAUCGAGUGAGAGGAGUAGCAACUUGAGAGUAAUUCUUGAUGAAGAUCCGAUAGAAGUUGGCAAAACCAAGAAAGCAUUGUACGUCUCUAAACGUCUUCAAAACCUCCCAGGACAUGAUUGCUUCUACCUUCUUGGGGUCCAUCUUCAAGCCUUCCAUAGUCGCAAUGAACCCUAAAAACUCCAUUUCUAUUUAGUGAAAUAAACACUUCUUUAACUUGGCAUAUAGUCCUCGCUCGCGUAGUUUCUCUAAGACCAAACGAACGUGCUUUUCAUGCUCUUCCUCAUUUUUGGAGAAUAUCAGAAUAUCAUCCAAAUAGAUGACAACAAAAUCAUCAAGGUACUCUCGAAAAAUGUCAUUCAUCAUAUGUUGAAAGACCGCUUGAGCAUUGGUAAGACCAAAGGGCAUGACAUUAUACUCAAAAUGGCCAUACCUUGUAUGGAAUGCUGUCUUCCACUCAUCUCCUUCCUUGAUUCGUAUGAGGUUGUUAGCUCCCCUUAGAUCAAUUUUUGUAAAGAUCCUUGCACGUCCAAGUUGUUCUAAGAGACCAGAAAUCAAGGGUAAUGGAUAACGAUUCUUCUUUGUUACCUUGUUAAGGCCUCGAUAGUCCACGCACAUCCGCAAUGAGCCAUCUUUCUUCUUCACAAAUAAGAUGGGUGCUCCAGUCGAUGAUUUUGAAUGACGGAUAAAGUUCUUGGCUAGAUUCUCGUCGAUGUACUUCCGCAACUCCGCCAACUUCAUCUGCGAUAGAUUGUAGAUUGGGCCAAAAGGCAGUUGUGCUCCUUCCUGCAAGUCUAUGGCGCAAUCAUAUGGUCUGUGUUCCGGUAGCAUGUCGGCAUUCUUCUUUUGAAACGCAUCUUUAAAAUCCUUAUAUUACUCCAGUAUACUUGCUGUCAAGAUCUUCUCCCCGGUAGUUGGAGCCACAUAAAUGACAAAUGGUGUGCCUUCCUUAGAUGAUCUUAUAAACGUUCUUGCUCCAAUGAAUAAGGAUUUCUCUAUUCGAGAUUUUCUACUAGGCUUGCUCUUGGGUGGUUUUGUGGGAAAGGUCAUCUUCCGCAACUUCCAAUCUAUGGAUGGGUUAUGCUUUUCCAACCAAGAAAGAUCAAGAAUAACAUGAUUUGAUUGGAUUCUAAUAAUAUUGAAAAUAAUAUGACUACUAUGACCCUUAAACAUCACUUCUAUAGGUUCUGAUUCAUGGGUGACACUAUCAGACAAUAAAGGUCGUCCAUCUAUGACCUCAAUGUGAACAGGUUUGGAUUUUUGUACUAAAGGGAUCUUAUGAUGCUUUACAAAUUCUUCGUCUAAGAAACAAGCAGAUGCUCCUGAAUCUAAUAAUGCUAAGGUUCUCAGUUUCUGAGGGCCAAUAAAUAAAGGGAUUGUAAAGCAAAGGGCUGGUUGAGCAGAAAGAAAGGAAUCUGGUUGUUGUUGCGAUAUUUCACUGUCCAGCCGCACGGUUCCUAUUGUGGCUGGGCAUCCUCGUUUUCUUGAACAAAUGCACUCCUAGUCUUGACAAUACAUCGAUUUUGCUUCUUGGGGCAGUUUCCAACUUUGUGGCCUUCUUCACCGCAGUACAAGCAUAGACCUUCUUCCAUACGCUGCUUUUUUUCUUCUAGAGUAAGGGAUUUGAUAUGUACUACAUCAAUUUACAUGUCUUCUACCUUUGAAUGUGAAUUCAUGCUGCUUGCCAACAUAGUUGGGGCAUGGCGAACCAUAUGUUGUCUUGAACAUUGGUCUUGGCAGUGUUGGAAUAGGCAGUUAUCGCACUUCACAGCUUGGCUAAUAGCUUCAUUGAGCAUUUGUGGAUCAGGAAGAGUUAACAGCAAAUCCUUCACAUCGUCUCUUAAACUCCAAUAGAAUUGACUCAUCAACGUUUCUUCAUCUCAAUUGAUGUCGCAUGCUAAUUGCCUAAAGUCCGAUGCAUAGACUGAUGUAGAGUGCAUCCCUUAUCGUAGUGAUCGGAUCUUUGUUGUAGCCCAUCGAACCUUGUCGUGUUCACCAAAUGCUUCCGCAAAUGCCUUCAAAAAGGUUUCAAAGUUGUUUAGUAUGGACGAUCGUUUUUCAAACAAAAGAGCAAAUCAUAAUAGAGCUUGCCUUGUAAGUAAGGUUCUAACAAGCCCAAUACGAGAUUCCUCCAUUGGAUAGCAUUCUGGCUGUAAAAUUAUUAUCAACCUGAUCUGGUUGACAAAUCCUCCAAAUUUAGAACGCAUACCAUCGAACUUGUCCGAAAGGCUAACUCGGGGCUCCUUAUAUUGUAGAACCAGCGGUGCUUGUCGAACCUGAGGUAAAAUUGCUUCUCCAAGUGUAGAAGUUUGAGGCUGGUGCAACCUAGAUUGUGCCAUCUCAAGUGCUCCAUCAUUAUAAAGCCUUGCCACAACUCCUUCAAUCUUUGCAGUUCUUUGCGAUAACGUAGCGAGGGCAUUCAUGAUAGCAUCCAACUUGGACUCCAAACUUUCCGUCAUACUAAUGUCUUGGCCCCCGGCCAUUCUAAGAGAAGGACAGAAAUGACUAUAAGAAGACAAUAUUGGUUUAGAGGAGGGUACUCCGCAACCUCUAAAAUGCCUUAAGAGAUUCAAGAAAAGGGGUAAUCCACUCUCUCCAAGAAGAAUAAGACUCCAAUAUUGGAACAAAAGAAGUAUCAGUUUAGAGGAGGGUAAUCCGCAGCCUCUAAAAUGCUAGUACACUUCCAAGCAGAGGGAUAAUCCAUACUCUAACGAGGAAGAAACUGGCUCUGAUAUCUGAGGUGAGUGAAGUCUCGACAAACUAUCACGGACACAGAAAUACAGACUCGAGAUCUAACAAGAAGUUCAAGAAGAACUGGCAAGAACUAGAUUAAUCAGAUGAAUACAAAAACAACACGAGAGAGGUGAACUAGAGUUCCAAGAGAUGUGUUGUCGAGACUGAAGAACUCUUCAGCCUCAAUUCUAAUAUAUACUCCUAUUUAGGAAGCUUCUCAAGAAACUUCUACUAACUACGAAGCUUCUAGAAGGUUCCAAAGACUUGCUUCUAGAAGGUUCUAGAAACUUAUUUCUAGAAGGUUGUAAGGACUAUAUCCCUAAUAUCUUCUAGCAACUAAGAAGCUUCUAGAAGGUUCUAGAAACUUGUCUCUAGAAGAUUCUAAGGACUAUGUCCCUAACAUUGUUGUAGAAACUGUAGUCUCAUGUUGCUUAAAUAAAAGAUUUGCUUGAAGAAUUAUUGAAAAAAAUAAUAAUUCAAAUAAAAUUUGAAAGAUUUUUUUAAAAAUAAAAAUAUUAGUAAUUACAUUAAAAGAUAUGUUUAUAUAUUGUAUGCACUUGAUUUUUUUUGCAUAUAUAAUUUUUUUAUUAUUAUUUUUAACAUAUUAGAAUUAAAAAUCACAGGAAAAUGGUCACAAAAAGAAAGUAUUAGAGUCUUUUAUUUUUUCAUUUUUUUAAAAAAAUCUAAAUAUUUUAUGUAUUUAAAAUAAUAGUGAAUAAAAUAUUAAAGAUUGUAUAGAAGGAUUUCUUUUAAAAGAAAAUGAUCAUAUCUUUGAUAAUAAAAAUAGUCAACACAAGAAUUAAUUGUGUAUAUUAAAAUUAAUUUUUAAAGUCAAAGUCUAUUUAUAAUUAGUUUAAUAUAUUAGUAAAUACUUAAAUAAAAAGAAAAGAUGAAAAAGAUGCAUGAAAAGCUAGAAUACAAGAGACAUACUUGCUAAUGUGCUCAUAAAAUAUUUUAUUAAAGAAAAUUAUUUUUAAGAAAAAGAAAUAAAUUUAAAAUAAUAUAUUAACAAAAAUCUAAAAUUAUCAUAUUUUAAUAUUAUUAUAAAUAAGUUCUAACUAUUAAAGAUAUAAUAUUUUCAAUAUUAAGGAUGUAGCAUAAUUAACACUUAAAGGCUCCUACAAGAUAGAUUCCUUACGGUUAAAAUACAACAACAAUUAGAGGAGGCCAAGGUAAAUUGUAGCUACAGAUCAAAAGUUUAGCAAUAUUAAUAUAAUACCAAGCCAAGAAAUAGUUUAUGUAUUUCUUAUCUACAAGUAAAGAAUACAAAAAGUAUAAUCUCAUCUUAUUCUAUAUAUUUAUUGUAUUUUUUGUGAUGAUAAUUGUUUUCUUUGUAUUACAUACUAGUGUUUUAGUUCAAUAGAUUACAUAUAUGCAUUUAAAAAAAAUAAAAUUAAUCAUUUUCUAGAAUAUUAUUUUUUUUAAAUAAUGGAAAAAAAAUUUAGAAACUUAUCUUUUGAAAGAAAAUUGAAUGAUUCUUUGAAAUCAAUUCAUAUAAACAAGAUUUAAAAAUAUAUAUUUUUUGAAGCCAUCACUUUGAAUUGAAUGAAUAAAACUCUAAUAUUCCUUUUGCACUAUUACACUAGAAUAUUUACAAGUUUUUUUUUGAAAAAUAUAAAUUACAUUUAAAAUAAUUUUUUAAACAAAAAAUAGUUUUAAUAUAUUUUUAAAAUAACAUAUCUAAACCAAUAUUAAUUUAUAACUCUUAUUUUUUAUUCUUAAGUUUGAAGAGUACAUAAAGAAAUAUGUUAUAUUACUAUAUAAUAAUAAAUGAUGAAAUAAAAAAAAUACUAAUAUCAUGAUUUUAUAUUUAAUUAGUUUUAUUUCAAAAUAAGAUAAUUAAAAUAAAUAUAUUAGAAUAUUAUAAUUAAUUUUCUAAUUUUUAUGAUUUUGAAUUUUUAAAUUAUUUUUUAAUCAAUUGAUUAAUAAAAAAUUGAAUGACAUUAUUUUAAUGUUGUGUGAUGUUUUUGUAAUAAUAUGUGAUUAUAAAAUUAUACAUACAUAUUUAAAGAAAGCAACUCAAUGACACAAAAAUUCUUCAAUUGUAAUAUAUAUAAUUUUUUGUAUAAAUGAGUACAGUUAAUCUAAUAUAUUAUUUUAAAAUAUGAAAUAAUAUAUUCUUUUAAAAUUUUAUUUUCUAUUACAUUUAAAAACAAGAAAAUAAAAAACAAGGCCUUUUGUUUUUAAAAAAAUUAAUAAAAGAUAUUAACUAGUUAAUCAUAAAAAUACAUAUAUUAUGACUAUUUAAAAAAAUAUAUUCGCAAAAAUAUAUGAAAUCUUAGAAAAUUUUAUUUCUAGUUUUGAGAAAAUGGAUAUUACUGAUUGAAUGUAAAACUGCCUAUAUAGAAAUUAAUACUUAACAAAGAUAUUUUUAGACUAACUUGAAUAUAAUAUUUUAAAAUAAAAAUAAAAUGAAUCUAUCAAUAAUAGUAAAUUUUAGAAAUGAUCAGCUAAAAAUAAUUCUUAAUAACUAAUAAUAAUAGACCUCAUAAAUUUUAUUUUAUCAAAUCUUUAAAGAUACGAUCUUUAUUAUUGUUUUGAUGACAAUACUAGUUAUUUCUUCUUUUCAAAUGUCUCUAAAUAUCAAACAAUAUUAAAUAUUAAAAAAUUCAAAGAAUUCUUAAUUAUAUCAAAUUUUUAUCAAUUAAAUAUUAAUUCAUAUAUCUAUGAAUAAAAUAGAUUUAUUAUAUCUAAAAAAAACUAUUUUAUUCUAUUGAAUUGUUCUAACUACCUAAAUUAAAGAAAUCUAAUCAAAUAUUUAUUCAUUAUUUUUUACUAUUUUCUACCAUUAGGUUUGAAGCUAAAGGAGAAUUGUGAGAAGAAUUAUUUGAAAUUGUUAGCAACGUCAAAUAAUCCCAUAGAAUUAAAAAUAAAAUUUUAAAUUAGCUAAAUUCUUAUUUUUUCGAUUUUAAAAUAUGAUUUCUUCAUAAUCAGAAAAAUAUUAAAAUACUAAAAAUUUAAUUUAAAAAACUUAUCAAACGAAAUUAAAUUUCAUUAUCAAAAGAAAUUACUAUUUUAGAGUUUUUAACAUCAUGUUCAAAUCCAAAAAUGUUUUUUGUACUAUUAAUUUUUCUUAAAUUUAUAAUAUCAGGUAUUUAUAAAUUUAUCUUUGCUAGUAGUGGUAGCUUUUAUUCAUUAUUUUUUAUUUUUUAUAAUCAUUGAUAUUAGAAACAAGACCUUGUUUAAAAGUUUGUACAAAUAAAAAACUUCAAAUUUGAUUUUUAGUAUAUAACAAUAGAAAUGUCAAUAUAUAUAAAUAUAUGUAGAUAUAAUAAUUCUAGAGAUAAAUUAAAAAAUAAUCAACUUUUCAAUAGAUUAUGUGAAUAAUAUCAAAUGAGUUAUCAAUUUAAAUUUGAUUACUUCUUAAUUCUUUGAUUUAAUUAACCUAUUUAAAUUUAAUACAAAAUAUUUGAUAAUUUAUGAGACCAUCAUUAUAAAUAAAUUCGAAUUUCAAAUAAAUAGGAUUUUAACCAAUAGAUUGUAAGCCACGAAGUAUGUGCAUGUAUGUGUAUAUAUAUAUAUAUAUAAAAAGAUAAAAAUAAUAUUUUUUUUGAAAGACAAUACCAUUGUUUAUUUAUAUUUAAUAAACUAUCCUAAGAUGCAAAAUCCUUCAUCACGUUUACAUACCAACAUGCAUCUAAUAGAAAAUUAAAAUCUUGUUCUACUAACAACAAAGUUGAUAAAUAUUAAAAAAUUACCACCAUUAGUUUUUGUUUUUCCAACAUUUAGUCAAAUAUAACUUUUAAUAAAUAGACCAAGAAUAAGAAAUAAUAAGUAGAACUUAAGACACAAUAACGUGAAUCACUUCCAAUAGAGAACCAACAAUAAAAAUACAAAUAAAACCACAAAAUCUAAUGCCUCCAAUAUCUUUACAUGACCCAAUCCAAAUUCUACUUUCAACUCCCUCAUCUUCCAUUCAACAAUUUAAACUAUAAAGUUGGCAAUUGUCAACAUCCACCUCUUCAAUAAAACACUUAUUGAUGUUUCCAAAUCAUGUACUGCAAUGGAAAACAGGAUUUUGUUUUUUUGGGAACAAACUUGGGUAUUGGUGCCAUUAAGAAGAGAUAAGAGUUGGUCUCAACAACCCCCCAAAAAAGAGCAAAUAAUCUCACAAUUCUUUGCUUGAGCAUUCAAUCUCAAGGGUUGCACUAUGAAGCGGACUUUACGAUGUUGGAUAUUCAUCAUCUUCCUUCGAAUAGUUUGCUUGUUUGAGCAAAUCAUUACACACAUUUGAGCAAAUGAUUCUUGCUUUACUUGAAUCUAAGACGGCAAGUUCACGUUUUGAUGAAGAGGGAGACUGUCGGUCGGAGGUGAAAAGUUAUACGCUCAAUCGUUCCUGUGUCGAGAUCAUGCACAUGAUGAACGAGUUGAUCUGGAAGUUACCCAAUUUGAAGUGAAGCCCUAAAAGUUUCCAAGUUCAUGAUUUUAUGCAAAAACACAAUCCACUACUGCAACUGUAGAUCCGUCAGUUGUUGUGGCGUUUUCGAUUUUAUCAGAGCAUGGCGCACUUCCAUUCUCAUACUGCACCGAGUCCCCUUCUGAAGAUCAGGCUCAACUGAUCUGUAGGGCCAAUCAGACCAACAAUGGCAACUUCACAGUAAUAUUUGCGAAGCAUGACAGUGACAAUGAAAUGAAAUCCAGUCAAAACACUUUUUUAUCAAGUCUGCGUCUGCUGGUCAUGAGCGAUGAUAUUAAACCGGUUGCUGAACCAAAACGUCCAGUUUCUGUUGGUAUUCAAGGUGAUAUUAUACAGCUGUAGUGAGUAGUAUGUCAAGUCAAUAACUUCGAGCACCUUUGUUACCAUAUACCCUCUAUUUUACUGUUUAGAGCUAAUGCCUCACAUAAGUCUAUAUGCGUUUAGAGGUUGCCAGUUUUGCGUAACUUUACGUUCACAACUCGGGAAAAUCUAUUCAGCAGUUUUACAACAUGUAGUCCUCUACUUGUCAUUCGAAUAGUAGACGCAGCGUGGUAGCCGGAUUUCAUGUGUGUGAAUAAAGUAUGUUCAACAAUGGUGAACCUACAAAUUCCAUUUCAUUCAUUUUGAAGCCAAGCCUUCUUUUUGCCAAGUCAUCGCUGUGUUAACCCAGAUGCUCAUUCUUCAGUGUUUUGUACACCUUGGCGAAUUUGAGAAGGACCCAGUUGCAAAUGAAAUUGACAGACGAUGGCCUAGUUUUCAAUCGUGAAGUCGGGAGUGUGAGUGGUGAUAAAUGAGUGACCUCUGUGACUGUUUUGAGCGCCAGUGACUCAUGUUGAACUGUUGAUAACUCAUGAACAACCAUUCUAUUACCUUUCAAGCGAGACCCAUUACCUUGCGCGUGAAGAAACGAGGAGAGCAUGAUCCAAAAGACGAGGCACAUUGUUAACAUGACGGCCAUCACCACUCAGUUCGGUUGUCUCUGAAGCUCCAUUGCGUGUGUACUCUAAAAACAAAAUAGCAUUGUUGAAGAGUUUCACUCACAUUCGACAACUAGACCUGAUUGUAUUGCCGAAACAUUGAGUUGAAGGAGUCCUAGCAACCAUCAAAUGAAGCACUACAUGCCACUGAAACUCUACUACAAUAUGAACGCUACUAUUAUUUCAAGAUAGGAAUUGUAAACACAGGUUCAUGCGGCUGUGACCUUGAUGACUAAUUGCAGCUGAUGGAAUUGAGCACCUGAAUGUUGCACCCACUUGCUCAACUUCGACUUUGCUUUCACAAUUGUAAUCGAAUCUGAGCAAGUGGUGUUGAUUAUGGUGUUACCUUGCAAAUAUUUUUAGAUGUAAUGUAUGUAUUUGUGUGUGUAUGUUUUUACAUUUCAUUUGGUUUUGAGGGGGGCAAUAAGGGAAUCAUGAGCUCGUCUGUUCUUUUAACAUCUACGGGGGCGAGAACUAAUACUCAGCCAGACAUUGACAUGACACAACAGCGAGAUUGCCAUGUAAUUGAGAGUUAUGAGCAUCUGAGACCAAAUCAAAAUACAUCAAUGUAAAUACUAUCAGGGGAUGUCUGCAUUCAUUCGAGGAUUUUGAUGUGUGACGUAGCAUCAUUUGAUGAAAGCUAUCUCCCAUGGUAUCCCUAGUACAAGUAAACUUUUCACUAGCUUCAACCAGAUCAUUUUCUACGUUCAUACACUAGGGGUACACAUUCUUCACAUGUUUACGACACAUCUUGCUGCGGUACAACUGCAACACUUGAUCUCUUGUGAUAUGAUUCUUUGCAGACGGCGACUGCGACUGUGGUUUCAUGCAUUAUUUGUGGAAGUGAAAUGGUGGAAGGUAUUACGCUAUUGAAAAAGCUGGAUGAAAGGCUAGUACCGAUGGUGGAGACUGACGGACAACGCUUCAGUACAAAAUAAGUCGUGAUAGCUCGAGCACGUAAUUUUCCAGUCCUGGUUUUCUUGCGUUUUUGGGUACAGAAUUCUCGACAAACUUCUGAAAACAGCCUCUCCAGUUGAAAAUCACAAGUUGGAAAUUGAACUCUGUCUUGUGAAGAAAUUGAAUGGGGAAAGCCACAUUCUUUGGUACUCCUGUUCUGGCAUCGCCCUUUGUAUCCAGUAAUCUCUAUCCUUGAGCAUACCAAAGUGACGUAUGAGAGAUAAGACCCAGAUUCAUCAUACACAGCCAUCAACACAUGAACCUUACCAGUCUGUCGAUCCAACCUCGCCGGGCAGAUGGCUGUGUAUGAUAGUUACAUGUAAGCUUCAUGUCAGAGUAUUGACAGAAACGCACGUCAAGGACCUGCAACAUUCCAAUGCUUCUAUCAGAUACCUGGUCUAGCUAGGGUAGGAUUGGAAAGACUCAAUUCUAGGAUCUUCGUUUCUUAUGGACAUUAAACUUGUGGUGGCUGUGAGAUCUACUGCAAUUGGGUGGAGAAGGUGGUUCCGUUUCCACGAUUACAAUACACUCAAAUUGCUAAGCACCGACAUCACAAAUGUCAUUCUAUGAUUGUUUUGGAUUCACAUGCUGAACGGUAGAGGACGCUGUGGAAUCUCAACCACAUUAGAUUGUGUUAAACUACGGCUUAAGAUCGUUAAGCGCGAACUUGUUAAGAGAAAUAAACAAACAAACAAUUUGAAACAGGUUUUUAGGCAGGUCUAAAUUUCAAAUCAUAAACUCUAUCCGAAAAAAAGGCCAAUUGAGCCGGGAGCAUUUCCAAAAACAGGGACUGAUUGCCGAGGAGCGUGAAAGGGCCCCUGCUUACCGGUCCCGUAUGUAUUGAACUUGACUGUGUCGAACUUCCUGCAAAUAAUACUUCAAAUGUAACAUCCUCUAAUGUCCAUAUAAAGCCGGCCCUCCUCGCACUCCAAGACACAUUGUUGGAAUGAAAUCGUAUCCCGAUAACGAACUGUCAAAACAAUAAAUCUUGAAAACUCCGCCUUCGAUUACUGGAAACUUUUCAAUUCCAAUUACGCUCCAUGUCUCCAAUUUCAAGCCAACGAAGGAUGGUUGUCUAUGAAGCGUGGCCUUCGUUACGUCGACAUGACAACAAACAAAUUCAUUCGCCCCACUCAACUCCAUCGCCCACGUAAAUACCUAAACCCACGUAAAAUCAAAUCAACAUUCGAUCAGCGCAUUCACAUCCCUCACAUCAACAUAAAUGAAGCAGUAGUUUAGGGUUAGGGUUAGCUGCUCUCGAAGCAUGCACAAAGAAUUCGCAGAAGUAUGAGCAGACCCAGUCCGCAUAUGGACACAAGAGCAUAACCUGCGAGCCUUUCAUGCUUUACCAGCUCUGCCAGUGCCGAGGACUAUAAUGAAGCUGCAAUUGCGAGACUAGCAGCAACUCAUGAGCUUAACUACAGCAAAUGCGAUGCACUGCAAAACUAGAUUGUGAAGCUAGUUUUUGUUACCUGCUUGGUUUUUCUCCAUCUAUGGUGACCAGGAAUGGUAUGGAAACAACCAGUGAUUGAUUCACAGUGAAAUGACCUGGGCCAAGUUUAGGGUUUCACGAACUAGAGGUUAGGUGAAUUGUGUUAAUGGGUUACAGUUGGGCCUACAAAGUGCACAUGACAAUUGAAUGAGGGAAUCAUUCUCUCCCUUCAUUUCAUAAACCUCAUGUGUGCAUUUUAUAUGUUAAUAGUUCCAUGCUCAGUUUGCAAGCAUUGUCUCUUGUUAUUGUGAGUAAUGGUGUUGCAGAUUUUGAUGCAUUCUCUUGGAGUCACAACUUUGUUUGUUGGAUUUUGUUUCAAAACUUGAUUGUUUACUGUUGAUGUUUGAUUGGAAAAUAGGAAACUGUUUUUGGGGAAACAUAAUUCCAUAAUAUCUUCAAUAAAAAUGAACAGUUAUGUUUGUCUUAAAUGUAUGUUCGUAACAGCAUGUAAUUUCAAGUGCACAAUUUUUAUUCUUGAGUUGUUCUAGUGUGUAAAAGUGUGGUUAACUCCCUUGGAUAUAGUUGAUAAUGCUUUUUAGUUCUUUAUUGAUAAAAUUAAAAUGAUUAUCACUAGUUGAUUUUAAGUUAAAAUCAUUUGGGUUGAUUGCCUUCCCGCUUAUAAAGGUUUCGAUUUUUUAACUUGUAAAGUAUUUAAAUAGUUAACAGUUCAUUGAUUAUUGUGUGUGUAUAUAUAUAUAUAUAUAUAUAUAUAUAUUGUGAUCAAUAUAAAGUUGACCUAUUUUACUGAGAUUUCUUCGGAAUUUAGGAUGUAUGGAGUAUAAAAAUUAAUUUUUUUAAUACCAAUUCCUAAAAAAAUAAAUUAAAUGUCCUCUUUUGUAAUAUUAAAUUAAAAAAUUAGCUAAUGAAUUUUUUUUAAUGGUUUGCAGAAAGUAUUACAUGAUUAUUAAACUUAAAAUAUGAAUUAAACAACCAAUUUUAUUUUAUUUAUAUGUGUGUAUAUAUAUAUAUAUAUAUAUAUAUAUAUAUAAAGAGUGUUUUUAAUGCCACCACAAUUUUUGCAACUCCUAAUACAACCUCCAUCUGCUACAUGUCAUUUUUGUGCAAUAUUUUUCAAAUCAAUCAAUUUUUUUUGAGAGUGUGACUUGGCAAGAAUAACAACACACUCUCAAGUCAACUAAUGGGAAAAACUAAAUGGAUGGAAAAACCACUAAACCAAAUUAAAUCACAUACAUCCAAAGGAAUUUGGCACCUGAUGCCACAUCACGUGACAAUAAGAUGGAAGUUGUUGUAACAACGCAUAAUCUUUUUCUUUUCUUUUUUUUUUUAGAAAAAAAUUACUUCAAUACUUUUUAAUAUUUAAUAUUUUAUUUAAAAUUCUACACAUCUGAUAAGAAUAUUGAAAUGGUUUGAAGCAUUACAACUUUCUGAUUACUUUUUAUUAAUGAAUUUUUGCCAUUAAGAGCUUAAUUUCUAUUUUAAUUUGGAUAGGCUUCAAUUAUUUUAGUUUAAAUUCAAAAUUAAUAAAUAUACAUUGCACAUUAUAUAUUGAUAUGUUAUUAUUACUUAUAAGCAUAAAAUAAUACAUAAAUUAAACAUGAUUUUCCAGUAGCUGUGAAGAAAUCUUUCAAUAGCAGUAUUAUCAAGAAAUAAACUAAUGUGGAAGGAUUUCCUCAAACAAUCUGAAAUGAUCCUAUUUUACUACAUAACAAUUGUUUCGACAUAAAUGAGAUAGAGUGUACCUGCUCGUGUUUCUGUUUCACAUCAAUUAAAAAACACUGUGCAAGUGACUUCUAAUUACAUACACAUGUUCACCUUCAACAAUCAACAUUACUAAUAUUUUGCAUAAAUUUAUAUUAAAAAAAACAAACAAACAAACAAACAAACAAACAAAAAUAGUGAAUGAAAAAAAUCUUUAUAAUUGUUUCCUUUUAAUUACAUUAAUAUAAAAUUUGAAUUCGAUAUUACAACUAUAAUAAUUCAUAUUUUUUAAAAGACUCAACAAUUAAAUCUACACUCAAUAUCUUUAACUUGAAUUUAGAAAUUUAUUAAGCUGUAUACGUACAUAAACUAAAAAUAUUUCAAAAUUGGAUCCUAUUAUUUUAAAAUUUUCAAAAUAAUCAUCACUUGAGAUUUUGGGCAAUGCAUCAUUUUUCUUUAAUCAAAUUGAACAUUUUGAGGGGAAUUACCAAACUAAUCAAUUAAUGAAUCAAAUUGAGAAAGUGGAUUGGAAAUACUUCAUAAUUAUUGAAACACAUGCGAAAAUCACAUAAUCUUUUUCUAUCAUCAUCAUUUUUUUCAAAUUCACUAUUAUACGACAAAAGUCAAUUGGCAUAUUUUAAAACAAAUUACAAUUUUAAAAACAUUAGUGAUUGCCUGUGUAUGAUACAUUUAGCCUAUCAGGCUACACAUAUCAUUAAUGUUAUAAGAUUUACAAUAUGUUUGGAUAUAUAUAUAUAUAUAUAUAUAUAUACACACAUAAUAUUUCUCUCAAUAAAUUGCGGUUACAAUGUGAUGUGCUCCUAUUCAAAUUCUAAUGAUUUAUAAAUAAAUAUCCACAAAACUUACUUCUAAAAACUUAAAUAUAAGAAUUGUAUUUAUUUGUCUUUAUGACAUAAGCUAUAUAUAUAUAUAUAUAUAUAUAUAUGAAAAUCUUCUUCAAGGACAAUUUAAUUGAUACUCAUUAAUUAUUUUCUCAAUAAAAAGAAAAAAGGAAAAACAUAAAGUACGAUAUUUGUGUAAAUCCCUUUGCCAUUGAUUAUGAAAUUGAUAAACAUUAAUUCUAGUCCAAAUCAUUUCACAGCGAGUAAACUAUUAUGUACUAUCACUCAAUCUCAAAAACAUCUUUUCAACAUCAUUUUUACACCUCCAUUCAUCGUCAUGAUAAUCUCUACUAGUGUUAUCAGUAUUUAAACUUUAAGUUUAAAAUUUGUUUUACUAUAAUCAUUGUAUGUAUUGUACUAAUAAUGUGUGCAUAAAUGUACUUUUAAUUAAAAGGUUCAAAUUUUCCUUUAAAUCUUUAUUUCCAAAGGUGAAGGUUUCAAAGAUGGAAAUGUUUUGUUGUGAGUACUAAAACAAAUGUUCCUUUAAAUAGAGAUUUCACGGGUUCUUGUAAAAAUUGCUAAAUUUUUAAGAUAUGUGGCUCUUGUUUUGUUUAUUUUGCAAAUCCAAAUUUAACGUUUUGGUUUACUAUAAAAAAAAUUAACUGAUUCUACCCUAAAUCAUAUCAGCAUUGUAACAUACUAUGUGCUCUUGUAUUAAAGUAAUGAUUUCAAAUCUGGUUUUUGACAACACUGUUACUAAAACUUACAAAUUUUUCUUAGCUCACAAGCCAAUUAAACUAUGUAUAUAUAUAUAUAUCAUUACAUUUCAAAAUUGAUGAGUAUAAUACCAACAACAAUUAAUUGAUGUCCACAAGCUACUGUUUGCCACCUUUGUAAGGACAAGUAAGUGAACUUUAUUAUAUUAUAUAAUGGAAUUUUAAGAGCCAAAAAACAUGCAAUAAAUCAGAAUAUAAUAAAUAAAAAUAUUACACGUGUCACCACAAAAGAUUAAAUAAAACUUAAAAAACAAACUCAAUAAUAUCUUAUUGUUUCCCUAAAAAUAAACUAAGAAUAUGGAUCAUUUCUUGAAUUAUUACAAUUAAAAUGACGAUAAUAAAUAUUAAAAGCUCUGACCAGUUCAUCAAUCACCGUUUAAAGUCAGAACGUCCCUUUUAUUUUAUAUUUAUAUUUUAUAUUCUAUAUAUAAAACUUUACCAAUAGCUCCAAAACACAACCUACAGCAACACUUACACAACGACAGACAACUUUCCUUUCUUCCUUCCUUUCCUUCGUGAGAGAGAGAGAGCGAGGGAGAGAGCAUUUUGCAACACACCAUGAUUUAAAACUCACGAUCUCCCCUCUCAAUACAAUACAUUAAUCAAUUCAAUGUACAAAUGUUCAUCAUCCGCAGCAAAAUUCAGCAACCCACAGUGGUACCAUACUUACAUACCUACAGACAUACAUACGUUCACAAUUAGCAUGAUCUUUUUUCUUCUCAUACAUAGCAUAAUAAUAAUAAUAAUAAAUACCCAUAAACACACACUCAAAUAGAAGAAGAAGACAUGACGUUAGUUGUGUUGUGUUGUGUUUGUUAGUUAGUUUGUUUGUUGUGGUGGGGAUGUGGAAUCCGGGCAAAAGAGGGGAAAUCAAUAUGGGCCAGGCUGCCCGUCCGUCCUCGCUGAUCUAGGCUUGCUUCUCUGUGCAAAGAUGGUGCCCUGCCUGAGUGCCUGCAGCUUGCCAUGGAUUCUCUCUCAUUUUUAUAAUAAAACCAGAGUUGGACUCAGCCCCAUUCCUUUGCUUGCUCUGGCUUCAUUCAAUCCCCAUCCCUGCCUCUGAUUUCACUCUCUCUCACAAAACUGCCACUUUUGUUGCUUCAGCCGCGUGUGUGAGGACAGACUGUGUGUGUUUGUUGUGUGGAGGAGGAGAGAGAGAGCUACAGCACCCACAUUGUCAACACCGGUGUGAAGGGAGAAUUUUGUAAGGGAGAAAUUUGUUGUUCUUGCAUAUGGGGGAUGUGUGAAUGGGAGUAUGGGAGAAUGGGAAGGAGAAGGAGAAGGAGGCUUGAUGUGAGGUUGGUUUCUGUGUUUUUGUAGUUAGUGAGGUGUUGGAGCUAGGGAAGGUGUCGUGGAUAUGUGUUGUCGUGUGUUGGAUUUUGUGUGUGUGUGUGUGUGUGUUUUUUAGGUGGGUUAGGUUUGGUCUGAGGUAUGGAGUUGAAUUGCGUUCUUGUGUGCAGACAGAUGACGAGGUACGUAGCUCACAUUGCGGUGAUGGUUAUGGCGUUCUUGAUGGUUCGGGAUGCUUGUUCUCUGAGCGAGUGGAACGAGGCUCGUGCUACGUUCUAUGGCGGCAGCGACGCCGGUGGAACGACAGGUACUUGGAAGGGUUGACGGUGCCACACCUCAUUCAGCUCGAAUGCAUAAUGACCGAGAGUUGCUUUUGUUUCUGUAAAAAUUAGAUCACGACCAGGUUAUUCAAUGCUCAUCGAUCUUGCCAAUUUGGCUUGUAGGAGGUGCAUGUGGCUACGGAGAUCUGUACAGCACUGGCUAUGGCACCAACACGGUUGCCACAAGCUCCGCUAUCUUCGACCGAGGCCUUGCUUGCGGCGCUUGUUACCAGGUUAAGUGCGCUGGUAGCGCAUCCGAGUGCCAACCUGGCACCCCCGCAAUUCAAGUUACCGUGACCAACUUCUGUCCUCCUAAUCCUUCCCUGCCUGAAGGCAACGGCGGCUGGUGUAACCUCCCGCUGCACCAUUUCGACAUGGCCAUGCCGGCAUUUCAACAAAUUGCUUCUUACAGAGUUGGCAUUGUGCCUAUCUUAUACCGAAGGUAUGUGAUCACUACCACCUCCAUUCGCUCAUCGACUGUUGCGAGUUUCUUAUGCGUGCUACUUUGUUCUGAAAUCAUUACGAAUUUUGUUUCCCAGAGCUUCGUGCGUGAGGACAGGCGGCAUCCGCUUCACUAUGAGCGGACACAAAUUUAUGAACCUCGUGCUCGUCACCAACGUGGGUGGUAUGGGGGACGUCCAAACUGUGUUCAUUCAGGGGUCUAAGACGAAGUUGGUGGCCAUGAUCCGGAACUUUGGCCAGAUAUGGCAGAGCUCCGUGAACGUGAGCGGUCAGAGACUCUCCUUCAUGGUCAUGACCAGCGAUGGCGAGAGUGUAGUCUCCAGAAAUGUGGCGCCUUCGGAUUGGGCAUAUGGUCAGACAUAUGAAGGUUCACAGUUCUAGCAAAUGCUAAUCCGCCGAGGGUAUUCUUCUCGCCCAUCUCCUGACACGCAUUCGCCUCAUCAAUCUCUCUAACUACACACGAUGAUGCACCGAAGCUGUCGGCAGAUUCUCUGUUGUAGUUCGUGGAUUAAGCUGUACAAGUAAGCAAACGAUCCAGAAGCUUUACAUUUUAUGGUGACGACGACGACUACGACGACGACAACGACAUGAAGGAUACUGUUCUAGGGGCCUCUUUGGCUUAUGGGGUGUUGAAUUCGAAGCUACCUCUGAUCCACGAGGAGGGUGCCGAGGAGGGCAACAACCCCAGGCGGUCGUGUGAAUAGGUGUAAUUCUAUCAGAGCCAGCUCCUGUAGGAAGGAUACAAGUUUAGUUUUCAAUCAGAGUAUCUGGUGCAGAAAUUUCGAGUAGGCGUGCCAGUUUUGUACAAUACCAGUGUGUAUGUGCUUCUCUAGAUCUGUGUUCGCUUCCUAUUUGCUCAUCCAAUGAAACAGUUGAUUGCGGACCCAACUCUUCAAACUUUUCGUGUACUCUUCAACAUCACACGUCUUGAGGUGGGGUCAAUUAGUUUGAAGGGCAUAGCUCCGUGUACAAUGCAAUAACCGUUUAAAUCCGUGUGUGCAGCAAGCAGUAUAUGAGACUCCAGGAGUUCACACUGUGACUGCACCCCCCAACCCUGUGAGAAUGUUUGAUCUAUUCAAAGCAUUUCUCAAUCUGCUGUCAAUUGUGCAUUGUCCUCAUUCUGACAUCUCUUACAAGUCCUUUCCCAAGAGAUCUUAAUCCAUGCCACCGCAGAGACUGCAUUCGCGGAGGAGGCGUCUAUGAAAUAUCCAUCCGAAUCUGGAUCUCGGCGAGCUGGGAGCACCGGCUUGACUGUCGAUGGCUCCAUCAAUCAAAGACCGGCGUUGCAUUAGGACAUAGUAGCACUGUAGCACUAGUACCACUAGGAUUGAAACCCCGCUGCAGCUUUCUUCAACGCGGUCACCUGGCCGACAAAGGCUAUCGUCGGCACCGCAAUCAAAGGCCCCACCUACUCCUCGUACAUCACACCCACCCACCCACAUCUAUCUGGUGGCAAAACCCUUUCAUUCAUUCCUUAUAUUUUAUAAGAAAAACUUCAUAUUCUGGCAGAGCGAGAGAGAGUGUGAUCUUUGGGAAGAAUAUUGUGUUCAGAUAUGUUGCUAUUAUUUUAUGGAAGAUCCAAACAACCUCCUAUAUGCUAAUUUUUGCACAGUGAUAGAAAAGCGAAGUUUUUCCCUACUUUUUUUGUUUGUUUGUUUGUUGAGAGGGAUUUUGGAGUUCUUUUAAUGUUUUUUUUGGUAUGACAAGCAUCUUUUGAGAGAAACAGAAAGACUCUUGGAAAGUGUGAUGAUUCUGAGUGAAAUUUCCAAGUUUAGGUGGUUAAUGAUUUGGCUGUGGUUUCAAAAAUCUGUUGCAUAUUUGAAGACGAGUUGGGUACGCGAGUGAGGCCUUCAUUCAUGUUGUUGUAAAUAAUGAAUAAUAGAACGGAGAUUAAAGUAUGAUUUUAAAAAAAAAUACAUGAAUAUGUUAGUUAGGUACCUUACAUUAGAAUCUACACUAGAUGUUGAUUGAACCACGUGAAUUAAAGAUAUCAAUUGUCUUCCAUUAUAAAUUCUAAUAAAAGGAUGAUGGAGAUCAUUUAAUGUGCCUAUGCCAUGAAUUUCAUGGCCACUGUACAAAGCAAUAGUCAAAAAAAUUGCACGAAAAAAAUACCCCAAAAUAUAUUCAAAUUUUUCUAUAAACCAGGCACUAUAUACAUAAUAUGCAUGUCCUUAUGCAAAUGCCUAUAAAUAUCACAUGUGUUUUUAUUUUAUUUUUACAUUGUAAACUGUUGUACUCUAAUUUCCGAGUGAUCCUUUUUUAUACCCUUUUCACUGUGAGAUAUGAUGAUUUUUUUUAUUAUUAUUAUUUUAUGAAUAACAUUUUAACAUUUGAACACAAGCCAUAAAAAGUCUUAACACAAAAGUUUUUGCUUUCAAGUUUUCUAAAAUUCAAAAUUCCAUUGUUCUUGGUGUGAAUAUAUAUAUAUAUAUAUAUAUAUAUAUGCACCUAUAUAUAUUUUAGUAAAAAAAUAUUUACUAAAAAUUACAAUUGAGAGCUUCCGAGCUCCACACUUGUGACUAGCAAUCUACAGCAACAAUAAGUAGAUUUUGAUCUCUCAUUGAUCAAAAGUUGAGUUGUUGCUUCAUUUUUGCUUCACUUUUAACAAAAACAAUAAAACAUGCAACCAAUCAAAGGUGUUUAUUGUUUCUUCUUGUUUAUUUUGUUGGUUUAUCUCUCUAAACUAUUAUAUAUAUAUAUAUAUAUAUAUAUAUAUAUAUGAGUUGUUCAUACGUAAAUGUACUCAUAUGCACACACAAGCCUUUUUAUUAAUAUUUAUUUUCUUGCAACAAUGAGGGGGAUUGUAAUAAGGUUAUGGGCCCUAAUUUCAUUUCACUUGAAUAUAGUGGUAUUGAAGCCUAGAAGAGUUUUUCACCAGAUUUUCAGUCGUUUAUGUAUGAAUGAUAAUCUCAAGCUUCUUCAUUGUAACCGUAUGUUAAGACAAAAAAAAAAAAAAAAAAAAAAAAAAAAACUCAUCUAUCCUCUUUGUUGGUCUGGCUUGUUGUUGGAUUUCCUAGUCAACAACUGAAAUCCAGACCAACAAAGAGGAUAUAUGAGUUAUUUAUUUUUUUGUUUACAAAGUGUUAAUUUUUUAAUUUUUUAAAAUUUAAAAUAGAUAAUUUGAUAAUCUAAUAUCAUAAAAAUAAUUUAGAAGAUGCUGUAAUUUAGAAAGUUAAAUAUAAGAUUAAAAUGAUGUAUUUAAAUAAUGUUGUAAUUAUACAGAAAGGCUUGUGUAUCACAUGAGUAAAAAUAAUCUAUUAUAUCAAACUUAAUAUUGAACUUCUUUUCUUUUCAAUUUUAUUAUUAUUAUUUAUUUAUUAUAAAAUUAAAGACUAAAUAUUCAUUGUAUGCUCUUAGGUAGUUUUGAUGUCCAAAUUUUUAGAAAAUAAAUAAAAUCAUCAUAAACUAACUAUAAAACUAAAUAAAGAAUAAAACUCAAAAUUGUGGAGUAAAAUCAAUUGUAUAAAUAAAAACAAGAAAAUAUCAUGCCUAAAUAAAAUUAAUUAAAAAAUAUCUAUAGUAUAAAUUAUUUUUUAUGGUAAUAACUUUUCUAAGAAUUAAUUUAAAUUUAAUUAAAUAAUUUCUCUUUAAACACGUUUAAUAAAUAUUAUGGUAAAUGUAUAAUAUUUAAUUUAAAAUAAUUUAGGUUUUAUUUACAGGUCCUUUGAACUGAUAAUAAUUUCUGAAACAAAAACUUUGAUAGCAUGUUAAUUUUAAAUGUAUAAUAUGAAUGAAUCUAAAUCGUGUAAUAUUUUAAAUAGUAUUAUACAUAUUUUUAAAAACUAAUUUUUAUUAAAAAUUAGUAAUUCUUAGUGGAAUUAUACACAUUAGAAUUAUUUUAAAUAAUAUUAGUAAUUUAUGAAUUCCUAAGAAUUAGACUAAUUGAAAUGUGAAGUUAAAUAUUUAUAAAAAUAUUUUUCCUAUGUCAUGUUCAAAAUAUUAAAUUAAAAUCAUAUAAAAUUUUCUGUUGUGCUAUAUAUAUAUAUAUAUAUAUAUAUAUAUAUAUAUAUAUAUAUAAUAUCAAAUUAAAUCUCAAAGAAAUAAAAUUUUAGUAUCUUAAAAUAUUACAAAUAUUUCUUUAAAAAAUAUAUGAGAUGUUAAUAUGUUUUAAUAUUGUGGACCAUUGAAAUGGACAAAAAACUAGAACCAAUAUAAACUUAAUAUGACUUGUUCUUUUGAUUUAAAAUAUACAUAUAUAUAUAUAUAUAUAUAUAUAUAUAUAUAUAUUGAAAUUCACAGAAGAUUUCACAAUUAUAUCAUAAUGUAGAAUUCCAACUAAUUAAAACUUAAACAUAUGUGUGAAUUUAUUAAUCACUCAAAUAGGUAAUUACAUAUAUUUAUUAAACAAGGUUUCUUUCAUUAAUAUUCUAGCUAAUACAUGGUUAAAAAUAAAAAAAAUAAUUAGAGAAUUUUGGCACCAAAUUUUUUUGAAGAAAUAAAAGAAGGAACUGGAAUGAUUUCGAGGUAAAAGUAACUGCUUAAGGGUCUUCUUCUGUUAUAUUAUGCAAAUGUUACUUGUAUUAUUUGAUUACAUAAGUCUUUAAAUAUACUUGCAACAUCGACAGAAAGAACUUUAACAAAGAGUUUUAGGUACGAAUGUGUUGCAAAUUGGUGUGAAGAUUGGGAUAAUUUUAUACAUAAAUUGUUUCAAAGUACAUCCAAGUUUUGUCUAGAAGGUCAUAUCUACUCAAUUUUGAGUAUGAGAAUGAUAGAAGAUCUGAGGGUUUGCACUCAAGACCCAUUGAAAUUUGAAAGGAGAUGAUAGACAGAAUUAGAAAGCAUUUACAAAAGUGAGAAAAAGAAAUAAAUAAAUAAAAUAAAAAGAAAAAAGAAAUUCAGAAUUGUACAUUUUGUUAAGUUGAUGGCACAGCUUAAAAAGGCAUCCCUGACACAUGAUUCUUUUAAGGAAUUUUAGAGUUAAUUAGUGCAAACAAUGAAAUGUAAGAUGACAUUUUUGGAGAUAUAAUUAUGUAACAGAAUGUGUUGUCCAUGUAUUUCAGAGCUUAUAAAUUUUACAAUGGAUGUCUGAUAUUGAAUCAUUUUCAGCAUGUCCAGUAUGUUGUUAGACAAACACAAUUCAUUUAACAAAAGAUUUUUUCUUUUUCUGGGCUAUUUUAAGCAAUUGUUACAUCUACUGAAAGGGGAAGAGUGGACAAAAGAAAAACCCACAAUUAAGCCUACUCCCUAGACUUACAGAAAAUUGUGUAAGUUAUUGAUUCCACACUAUUUUGCAAACUUUAUCCACGUGUGGGCCACGUAGAUGAGGCCAAUAAUAGAAAGACUACUAAUAAAACCGAAGAUUCCAAGAGUGUAAACCAAUUUUUUUUGCAAAGGGGGAAUAUCAUUCAUUUAGUGUGGGUAACCUUGGCACGUCUUCAAACCCCCCCCACCCCCCGCCCCCCUUCACAAUAUCAUACCAGUCAGUCCAAAGAACUUUGGAAUUCCUUCUAAGUCACUUCAGCUGCACGGGCUGCCCCCUGAUUGGUCGAGACCCUCCGUGCCAACUAGGAAAUUUGCCAGGGUGGGGAAUACUCCUCCAUGUCAGCACUUUCCCCUCUUACCAACCAAGUCACGCCAACUGGGCUCGCGUUCGUUUCCCUCCAUGCCUCGCUUUUUCAAACGGACGGCCCCGAAAGUUUGCGCAGCCAGUUCGACGUCGCAGCUCGCCGGAUUUCCUCCGCGACCGAUUUGCAGCCCUUUGCGUGUUGCCAAAACUGUGAACACGACUGCGGUGAGUAUAUCAUGAGAUGCUGUUUCUCUUCACCCUUUUGUCUGGAACUCUGGGUUUCCGUGUGUGGAGCUGGCUCUGUUGUUGAACUGGUGAGUCUGUCUCUCUGUGUUGUGUGAAUUCUCUCGCAAGUGCGCUGGAAUUUUGGUGAAUUUAUCAGGGGGUGUGAUUGGAUCAGGAGGAUUACUCUCCUUGCACACAGAUGUAUCGUGCGUGGUUUGAGUGCUGUUUUUAAACAAGUGAUUGUGAUCCUCCACCGGGAGUGGAACUGAAUUGUGCGGAGACCAGGGUUUGCGUAUCAUCAAACUUAGAAGCAGUCGUAAGUGGUGCUUGGUAGUGGAUUGGUGGGAUGUUUUGAGGGGAUCUACGAGAUGCAUGUUUCACAGCAGUACGUCGUAAUUGUACGAUGGGAAAUUUUCCCCUGUCCACUCCCAACAAUGGUUUGCAUGUUUUGGUGAUGGGAUUUGUUUUAAGUAAUCUGCGGCAGCAUUUUAAUCGCAAGCGUCAUCCUUUCCAGUUUGAUGUUGCCUGUAUUUUGAUACGAAGUCGUUUUGUUCUCAAAUUGUUGUAAUUUGAUUAUGAGAUGAUUUGACAUCGUUUUUUCAAACUCGGAAUUGGCUUACAUUAGUAGUGCAGGAGAUCCAAGGGAGCAGCUAUGGCGAUCGCAACUGGGAUGUCGAAGCUGCUACCCGCUUCUAGUAUUGCCUUCACUAAAGAAUUGGCCGGGCUAAGAGUGAUCCCCUUCCUCCCUCCUCCUCGUAAAGUUUCCGCAACGACUGUCAUAAGAGCGUCCUUGCACGCGGAGGAAUCUGAGAACUUGGGCGAGCAUGUUGCCCAGAACAGAAGAGCACUGAUGAUGAAGGGAGCUCUCGGAGCGAUAGGAAUUCUCUUUCCUAUCUGUGGGGCUCAAUCCGCAAAAGCAGCGGAGGAGGAGGCUGGAGAUACAUCCCCCCGUUUGUCUUACUCACGGUUUCUGGAGUAUGUUGAUCAAGGACUUGUGAAGAAAGUAGAUCUCUACGAGAAUGGCACCAUCGCUCUUGUUGAAGCCGCCUCUCCGGAGCGUAGGAAUCGCAUUCAGCGAGUUAGAGUUCAGCUCCCGGGAACAAGCCAAGAGCUUCUAGCGAAAUUCCGAGCUAAGAACAUCGACUUCGCCGCACACAACGCCCAGGAAGAUCCAGAAAACUCGGUUUUAAACAUCUUGAGCAACUUGGCGUUUCCUCUCAUCGUGUUGGGUGCCUUGUUUUUCCUCAACCGUAGGCAAGAAGGAAUCGGAGGAAGUGGAUCUGGCGGCCACCUCGCAUUUGGAAAAUCGAAGGACAAGUUUCAAAUGGAGCCAAACACAGGUAUCACCUUCGCUGAUGUAGCUGGUGUGGAUGAGGCCAAGCAGGAUUUCAUGGAAGUUGUGGAGUUUCUCAAGAGGCCGGAGCGGUUCACCUCAGUUGGUGCCAAAAUCCCCAAGGGCGUGUUGCUUGUUGGCCCUCCCGGAACUGGAAAGACUCUCUUGGCCAAAGCAAUCGCUGGAGAGGCCGGAGUUCCGUUCUUCGCAGUCUCUGGUGAGGGUUGCUAAGUUUUGUCCGACUUUGAGGAUACUUUACUCUCUAAAUAUGUCAAUGAGAAAUGCAUGAUUCGUCCGGAUAAGUGUCUAAUUGAUGGAUGGCGGUUCCAGGUUCUGAAUUCGUCGAAAUGUUCGUGGGAGUGGGCGCUUCCCGAGUGCGAGACCUCUUUAAGAAAGCCAAAGCAAACGCCCCUUGCAUUGUGUUUGUUGACGAAAUAGAUGCCGUUGGUCGGCAAAGGGGCACUGGCAUUGGUGGCGGUAGUGAUGAGCGAGAGCAGACCUUGAACCAGCUUCUCACAGAAAUGGAUGGAUUUGAGGGUAACACAGGUGUUAUUGUUGUUGCUGCCACCAACAGAGCUGAUAUUCUUGAUUCAGCUUUGCUGCGACCAGGUCGAUUCGAUCGCCAGGUCAAGAACAUUCUGACUUUUUACAUAAACCUCUUGUAGCUUUGCCCUCUGUUACAGAUUGAUGCUUUCGAAUUUUUUCGUGAUGCCACUAGAAUCGGGAAUUGGAUCUCCUAAUUUGUUGGUAACAUUUACGAGUAUUCUGUUCAGGUUACAGUGGAUGUGCCUGACGUGAAGGGUAGGACUGAGAUUCUAAGAGUACACGCAAGUAAUAAGAAAUUCGAGGAGGACGUCUCUAUUGAGCUCGUUGCCAUGCGCACUCCAGGCUUCAGUGGUGCUGACCUAGCCAAUCUUCUAAAUGAAGCAGCAAUAUUGACGGGAAGAAGGGGAAAGACAGCCAUCUCUGCCAGGGAAAUCGAUGAUUCCAUAGACAGAAUUGUGGCAGGUACAUAGAACUCUCCUGCUAGAUCGAUUUCACCUCGAAUCUGCUGUACAUCUUGAAGCGGUUCUUUUCUGCUAAAAUUCUUUUCUUAAAGUAAGUUCGUCUUCGGCAGGCAUGGAGGGAACCGUCAUGACCGACAGCAAGUCGAAGAGCCUCGUAGCCUACCAUGAGGUUGGCCAUGCUGUCUGCGGGUAAUUUCUUCACAAUACAUGCAUCUAUUGUCCAAAUUGAUAUCCCUGGUUCGGCAGGGUUGCAAACUAAUCAGUUAUAUUUGCGACGCAGAACUUUAACCCCAGGCCACGAUGCAGUGCAAAAGGUGACUCUCAUCCCGAGGGGUCAAGCUCGCGGUCUCACCUGGUUCAUCCCUGGGGAAGAUCCUACUCUCGUCUCCAAACAACAAAUCUUCGCUCGCAUUGUUGGUGCUCUAGGUGGACGCGCUGCCGAGGAAGUCAUUUUCGGCGACGCCGAAGUGACAACUGGGGCUUCCAGCGACUUGCAACAAGUGUCCUCCAUGGCUAAGCAAAUGGUGACCGUCUUUGGCAUGUCCAACCUCGGUCCCUGGGCGCUGAUGGAUCCCUCGGCUCAAGGAGGCGACAUGAUAAUGCGCAUUUUGGCGCGCAACCAGAUGUCUGAGAAGCUGGCGGAGGAUAUUGAUCGUGCUGUGAAGCAAAUUUCUGACGAAGCUUACCAAAUUGCGGUAGACCACAUUAAGAACAACCGUGCAGCCAUAGAUAAGAUUGUAGAAGUUCUUCUGGAGAAGGAGACACUCGCAGGAAAUGAGUUCCGAGCCAUCCUGUCCGAGUAUACAGAAAUCCCGUCCAGCAAUUCCAGCGAGAAGAAGCAACCCAAACCUGCAGCUGUGUAACGCAUUGGAGGUGUAGAUCGACUCAAUGGAUUAUUUUAUUGAUUCUUAUUGAGAUUUUGGAUUGUUAAGCAGUUCACCUUCUCAUUGUUAAUAUCGUCAUCUGGAAAGGACAGUCUUUCUUUAACAUUUCAGUAUCUCCACUGCUACCAGGGGGCACAGAAGUGCUCUAUUUUAUAUCAGAUUCUAUGUACAUGCUAGAGAAAUUUGCACUUUCGUGAUGAUGUAACCACGAAGAGGGGCUAUUGAUGACGACUCAUCGGACCAAAUGGAAUUAUUGAGUACUUUUAGAUUUUACACCAUCUGCUCACAGAGUAUGAUAAACCUGCGUCGUUUUUCCGAGAUGUGUGCAUAUGCAACCGCUUUCCUCGACGUCACUUAAUGAGGGCAUUAUUUCUUUUAAUUCUCCUUCCGUCCCAAGUCAAUUAUGACAUUAAUGUACAAUGCAACCAAUAUCAUCAUAGUCUGGUUUCUAACUUCUCACGGAUGAGACUUCAAUGAUCUUUCGUUAGGUUUAAGGAAUAAAAUGACGUUAGCAGAGACGUUUUUGCAGAUGAAAGGGAGUAUUCACAGGUCUCAUAGCGAAUAGUGUACCUCUCCAAGCCUGUACUAACAACUUGCAGGCAAUAUUCAUGGACAACAUGUUACAAAGUACCUACAAAAGCAAAUAUCAACUCAUUUUCGAGAAUUCUCCUGACUUCAUUCAUCGUGCGAUAGCAAUUAGCUAGGACACGUAUCUAGCUCUAACCACGUACGCCUCAUGAGGCGACGGUAGAGACGGACCGAGCAGAGGGCCCUUAUGCUCUAGGUAGUGUAACCGCAAUCUCAGGAUAUGACUACAACUUGUGUAAGUUCAUUGCGUACAGCAAAUCAGACUGUUUGCAAAAGAUAUCGUCAUAGACGCGGUUAAAGAAUACACAGGGCCCAAGCUCGGAAACCUGACACUGGAAGCAUCUUAGAGACACAGGGAAUAUUUCAUUACACUACCAACACAGACAAGACUUUCCCAUUCUUCUAGUCGUCUACAUCAUAAUUCGAAAAACUGAGACCCUAUGCGUGAAACAGACAGUCGCCUCGAGGGUCAUGCUAUUACCUAUAUAUCAUUGCUUCAUCUACAUUCUCUUCUCCUUUAGCUGAUGCACACACAGCGUAACCAAAGGUAAGUCGCAGGAGAAAAUUGGAAGACGCUUUAGGUCGUGUGCAUAUAAGGUAUUUUCACCAAGUUUGCCACAAUCUGGCACGUUGAGGUGCAUCAGCUAGGUCCUCCUGUCGAACUCGCGAAACCAAACAGAAGAUUAUCAAUCGUACUGAAAUCAAUCGACAAGGUCUAUUCAUACGGGCACAUUACAAACAGGAAAUUAACAACUCAGAGUUUGAAGAGAGAACGCUACAAAUCGAGUGACAGAAUCAGGAACCGACGCUCGUCCGUGACGCUCUGAUCCAGCUAGCGAAAUAUAUACUGCGGAAGAGUUAACCUCAAAAUUAGGGCUAGGAUUUUACUGUUGCGAUUUGAAAUUGAUUCCGAUGCUGCCACGUUCUCAUGAUGAAAAAUGAAGAUCAACGAAUGAUAACACUACGAGUAUAACAUUCAUUCAUUUCUAAAUUAGGGUUUAGUUUCUGGCUUGCGAAUACCAGCGUCGAAUUGUUGUCGUCAAUGUUUUUCGGGAGCCUUGAAUUUGGAGCAGAGGUUGUGUGAAUCAAGUGAAUUGUCUUGUGGAAAGAAGGAUUCUGUGUUUUGGCUGAAUGUGUCUUGGCUGAAGUUUUUUAGUUUUUAGAGAUUUUAAUUAUGGAAGAUGGCAAGGAGAAGAGGGAGCGGGACACGAGUCGAGUGGACUCUCUGGGAUGGCUCACAGAGUCCGCUGUUAUGCCCAAAAAGCAGCGGGUGAUAGAAGGAGUGGGACCUUCGUCGAUUGUAGAGCUGCGGGCGCAACUAUAUCGGACGCAGGAAGAUGUGAAGCGAGCCAAGGUGCUUGGAGUUGACCCGGAUGUGUUCCGACCUAAAAAGAAGGUUGAUGUGUUGUCGAAGAAGAACUCUGGAGUUGAGGAUCGGGCUUCCAGGUUUGCUUGUCCUUUCACCCUGUAUUCCUGUUUUUUUUUUGCUUGUUUGUUUGAUUUCUUCUGUUUUUUGUGUCUUUUUCCUUCUUCUUUUUUUUUCUUUUUUUUUUCUUUUCUUUUCUUUGUGAAUUUGUCCGUAUCAAAGAUAAUUGAGUUCCUGUCUGGAGGAAUUCUCUACUACGGUUAAGGUUAUAAAGAAUAGUAGAUGCUUUGACACAUGUGCAGUACAGACUUUGCUUUCUUUGUAUAGAGGUAGAAUUCACUAUUCUUAGCAUUCCGCAUUAUGCUUUAGCUUGGUAACGAGUAUCGAACAAUGUAUUUAUUUUUUCUACUGUUGUGUGCUAGGAUUUGUGAUUGAGGUGGGGGUCGCAUGAACUGGUAUCUGAGGGAAGUAGCUGAUGCUCGUCUACGAUACGUGGAUCUCAUUAUGUUUUGGCAUGGCUUACGAUGCAGAGAUAAGCUUCAGUUGAAAGCGUCUAAAGAUGGGGUUGAUAGCUACGCUGCUCUAGAGAAAAAAGCUGAGCUUUAUGACAAGCUUACAAGGGGCGAACUACCCGAUGAGGAAGAGAAGGAGAAGUACAGUGUCGAUUUCCUUCGCAAAGGGUCUCUGAGUGAUGAAGCUCUGGAAAUAGAGAGGGAGCGGCUAGGGGAUUCUAAACAUGACUCAAGAGAAAGCUUUGAAACUUCAGGAGUUGAUGCGGGCACGUCAGAAGCGAAACCGAUGUCGGGUGUGGGUUGGGGAUUGGGAAAAUCAACAGGUUUAAGCCAUGAGCAGAAGCAACUCAUUAGGUAUGAAUUGCUUUAUCCUUCUUCUUCUGAGGUAUCUGUCAAUGAUUCUGCUUCAUAUCCCUCGCAUGCUUUCGGAGCAUCGUGGUAGAGUAAACUUCAGUCUUUAUAUUGUAUGUUUGUACAGGCCAUUUAUUAGGAACGGCUUAGGAUUUUCUAUUUUGCUCUGUAAAACCAAUCGACUUUUGAUUAUUUAUACCGACGUAUACAUUCAUACGUACAUGAAGAAUGUGAUUACUUGUGAGUUUACUUUCUCAAGUUUCUAAGUGGAAACGGUGCUACAACUAUGUUGUUUCAGUCGUUUUCAAUCCUAAGCUUUAGGUGUUGGCUUUAACGUUGAUUUUUAUUGCAAACGUUUAUUUACGUGCAGGGAGGUGAACAUAGAAACGAAAGAAGCUCGUGAAAAAGCUAAUGAUUUGAAGCUAAGGCGGCAAAAGGAAGCCGAGAAGAAAAGGGAAAAGUUGCGACUUGCUUUCCUUAAGAAGCAGGUUGAGAAACUCAAAUCUUCCGGAGGAGCACAGAAAGGAACUAUUGCCUCUGAACCUAGCAAGGAAAAUGCAACCAAGCAAGACGGUACAUUGUCCCAUUGAAAAUCUUAUUUACUGCCCUCACCUCCUUUGAGUUCUGUGAUAUUCAAUCUGUUCCAGAAGGUCUGAAGAAUGAUCCGGAAUAUCUGUAAACUAUACCUGCAAAGAAGCGUGGACUGGAGAUGGGGCUUAUCAACUGCGUUGGACCGAUGCAGUGCAUGUCUUCUUUGUACGGAUGAUUCCGAAAACCAUCUCAAAGAUACUCGCCUACGAGUGGUAAUCUUUGUCCUGAAUGUGAACUGAAAGAUAUAGGGAUUGCAUUGAAUGCAGAAUAUCACGGAAGAGUAUUAUACUCUAGCUCGCAAUAGCUUAUAAGAUCCAUUCAAAGCAGCAGAGGAAAUAGAAGAUGCCUUCACUUGUGCAGGUUCCUCAAAACUAUGUACACUUGUGUAGAAUUACGAAACAAUUCUUCGUAGGAUGAAUUCAUCCUCCUUUUCAAAAGUAAGAGAAUGUGUCACUUCCACGUGCCAACCAGUAUUGAUUUUUCUCACAUAAGCUUUUUUCACACAUCUUUUAGGGCUAAAACCAGGUUGGAAAGACUUGCAAAACAUACUAGAGUACAGCCCUGUGUCCUCCCCCUGCAUGUAUGUUGGCAACUUUCACAAAAGUCAUCAAUCAUAUCAGAAGACUAUCAAUUGAAUAAUGUCUCUUCUCAAAAAUGACACCAAAUUGAAAAAGAUGUUUGAAGACAUUGUUACCCAAAGCAUGCAUUAGCUUCUGGUAUUUCAAAAUACAAGGAAUACAUCUCUAAAAUUAUUACGUAACACUAAAAAAAUAAAAAUUACAUGACAAAUACUUAAUUGAACCAUGUUGAAAGAGUCAAAAUGCAUGAACAUUGUUGAUGUCUCUUUGUCUAUUUACUUUCUUAAUCAAAUAUCCCUAAACAAACAAAUAAAAUAUUAUUUUAUACUUUGCAUACAAAUCACAAUCUUGAAUUUAUGUUAUUUGCCAUUUUCUUGCUAAUUUUUCUCUAAAACAACUAAACCUCACAAGUGUAAUUGUUUAAAACCAUUUCACUCUACUAAUAAAGCAUAAUUAAAUUUCAAGCUAAUACAAAGUUUGAUGUUAAAAAUCUUCUUCAAUAUGAUUUCAACAUUUAAAAACCAACUUCAAAAUAUAUCAUGAGUCAAACUUUAUCCUAUCUUUGGAGAAAGGACAAUUAUAUUACUAUGCCAAUGCUUAAUGCUUGGAGACUUGAUCAUGAUGUAAAGGGUCUUUAUGCUUAGAAAAGAAGAUAGUAAUCACAACUUCCAAGUCUUAUGAUAGGCUUAAAUUGAGAAGCUUCUCUUAAUUGGCUAUAUACUAAGUAAAAUCAGCUAGAAAGUUGUGGGAGGAAAAGAUGACAUGGAAUAUAUUUUUUUUCCUAUGAGACAUGAGAAGUAUUGUUUUUUCAUAAAUUUUACAAACUAUGUCAAAAAUCACUACAAACAUCCAUAACACAAUUAAAAAAGAAAGAAAGAUAUAGGUACCUUAUUUAAAUUUAGAAUAAAGAGAAAUAAUAAUAAUAGUAAUAAUAAUAAAAGGGGAAUGAUAAAGCAACCCACUCUAUCUUAACCAUCAUUAUACCAUUGCAGCUUCCAUUCUUGUUCCAAGCCAUUUCUCAUUCUCAAUCAUUGUUAAGGAUGGAGGCAGGAGGUUUGAAAUGUCUGGAAUUGGAGCAACAAUUGGAAACAGGAGAAUGGCUAGGAAUGGGGAUGGGGUUCAAAGGAUAUAAUGAUGGUUUAAAUAUGUGGGUUGAUUUAGUAAAAAUUUGGGUGACUUUAUCAUUUCCCUAAUAAAAUAAUUAGUUAAUGUAUGAUUGGUUAACUAAGAUUUUUUUUUUGAUUAUUACAAAUCUCUAUCUCAUUAAUCUGUCGAUAGUUCAAUUAUAUUGUUAGUGAUAUAUAUAUAUACACACACAGAGAUAUAUGUGUAUAUAUAUAUAUAUAUAUAUAUGAAAAUUACGGACAUAUUUAGCUCAUCGUAUUUCGUAGUUGCCUGGCACUACGAAUACUAAAAGAUGUUAUAUAAUUAAUCGUAUACAUAUCUACGUAAGUUCCUUGAUUAUAUGCAAUACAUUUGUUCGAGGCUUUUCCACGUUCCCGCCCGUAAGCCCUAAUCUCGCACAUGCGUCAAGUCAUCGCCUGCCCCCGUUCCCAUUUCCGACCGAAAUUUGUCCGAGAUUUGCAGGAAUUUCGGGAUUUGUGGCCUCCGACUCGGAAGACCCGAAAGUGCCCUUUCUACUGAGUUCAGCAUAAUGUCAGGGCAGCGCGUGACGAGCAAACCGCACCAAACCCUAAAUCUCCUCAAUGUUCGACAGGAUCAGCUCCUGGAAGAGCUUCGCACAGUUGAAAAGCAGGUAAAAGGAGUUUGUCACGUCGGGCCAAGUUUGUCAAAGGCUGUGUUUGUCCACUGAUCACGUAGUGCAUCUCUGUUUAAUCGUUUUAUGACAUAGCAAUUGAGGAUGUUUAAAUGUGUUCAUGUUCCUUGACGCUAGUUGCGUUACUUUCAUUGUGCCUGCUGAUGGCCUGGACUUGUGAUCGAUAAUGAGACGACGAAAUUCGCCUUGCGAUGUGUAGUUGUACGAUUUGGAGACCACAUAUCUGCACGACUCAAGCCAGUGUGGUAACGUGCUGAAAGGUUUCGAGGGUUUUCUUUCGUCGAUCAAAGGUUCUGGCAAGUAAGUGAAGUUCUCCAGAUUUUGUGCAUUGCAGUGUACGGAGUAAUGUUACAUUACAGUUUGAGAGCUUGGUUGAAUCACUGACCGGCAACUUGUCGAGGGUUCAGGGAAGUUGGGAGAGGGUUGCGAGAUAUGGAAUUUUCAUUUCGACGUACUCUCUGGUUUUCAUUUUGAUUGGUUGCGUGUAGUAUGAACUCAUCACCGUUUCCAUCCGUUUUGUAAUCGUGAAUUGACGUGUUGGUCUCUCAUAUUCUUUAUACUUUUCAAAAGAAGUAGAUCAAAUGCUGAUGGGUCGUAUUAGACGUUAAACCGUGGAAUUUGAAUGUUCUGUUUGUAAGCUUGAAGCGGCCGCGAAAAUUUCAACCUGAAGAUCGUCUCUUCUCUUUAUCAUCAGUGACUUCGCCCGUGGUAAUUUACUCAAACUCUUCUGUUAUUCGAUCAGUUGCGUUUUGAAAUACAAGCAGAACCGUCGAUUACUACGGAAAUCAUUCAUGUGCUAAUGAGGUGAUGCAUAAAACUGUCAGCCUACUUACGGAAUUUCCAAUUCUGCUAAUCCACUUAUUUUCCUCCAUUUUUGUCAAGGUAAUGGUUUGCAUCUCACUUUGAGCUUGAAAAUAAUCUGGCUGCUUUUAACCAUGUGGUGCUUUAAGAUUUGGACUAGAAUUGAUGUAGAAGCUUAUUUUCCUGCAGCUAGAUCCGAGUCAUUACACCUCUACGGCACAAUGCCAGGGACCUGGUGACGCGUUUUGGCGAUUAACCUAUUUGUGGAUUCCCUCUGGUCCAGGUGGAGGAGCUAUCUGGAGGGGGCCGUGAUGCAGGUAUGCUAAAACAGUGCAAUAGAGGCUUUUGUUAUGUACUGAUUGGUCUCCCAAUUAUGAAAGAUGACCUUGAAAGGUUUAUUCGCUAUUCGUCGCUUUUGUACUCAAUGUCACUUGUGUUUGUAGAUGGAAAGAUAGACGGCAGUUUGCAUGGGCGCACUAAGACAAAUGGAUUGUUCGUAAACGGACCGUAAGCACUGCCUCUUGAGACUUUGAAAUGCUCUCUUGAAAGCACUUCCUGGUUCAAGUUUUGCUUUCUUUUCAUGCGACAGGAAUUUAGAUUGUUCACAGUGAAUCAUUUAAUCUCUUGUGGAACCAUUCCUUUCAGUUCUGUGUCUUGUCAUUCUUUUGCAGAGAAUACUGUGAUUCUAAUGUAGUUCACGCCAUAGCUCACUUGGAACUAUCGUCUUGAGUUUCACGGCUUAACAAUGAUUAUGCCAUUAUUCUGCAGUGGAAAGCAGAAGCGUGGUCGAACUGGACCAAGAGAAGGCAAGAGGAUCAAGCAAGUUACUGAUCAUGGACAAGACGAAGAGGAUGACAUUGACGGCUUCCUUAAAUAGGAGAGCUUAAAAUAUUCGGUGACGGGUAAAGAAAGUGGGUUCAUUUUUCUACCACCAGCUUACUUCAUACUACUCUAGAAACCAUAUUCAACAAUCAAAACAUUUUCUUUGAGAGGGGGGAUUCUCUCGGAUUCGGGUUUGGGAGGGGACUGUAUAUCCUAACUAGCUGAAGAUAGUGGAUACAGUUGUUUUAGACCAAAGCUUCUGAUCAUCCAUUACAACAUUCGCACAUAAUUUUUCUUGUUCACUCAAGUGAGCAAAUGUCUGCUGUACAUAACUCCUUCAAAUGGUGAAAUCUGCAUUUAGCGUGAACUGCACUUAGUUUUUCCUGGUUUGUUACAGCACUUUUCAUUGUCUUUAGAAUAAAAAGAUGACAAAUCCUUUUUUCUUUUUUUUUCUUUUUUUUUUCCUCAACGACCGUUCAAAGUCUGGUUCCAAUUUGGGCUGUAGCAAUUUUCUAGAAUGUGAUCUGAUUCAAGGAUUCCCGUAACAUAGGGUUCUCAGAAUCUCCAGUCUACGAGAGUAGCCUCUAAUCACCACAAGCUUGGGCAAACACGACCAAAAGCAAUCUAAAGUGACUAGACAGGCGUUGUUAUAGAAAGUCUGACGUGGAACUUCACCUAGAAUGAGAUCUUCAUCCAACGAGAACGAAUUUAGUUGCAGAAGUGAUCUGAGGAAAUAUGGGGAUUGAUUGUGCAUGGCAUGGUUGACCAAAUCUUUUCAUAAUUCGUAACUGCCCCAAUCUACAAACUUGUAUGCACCUAGACUAUGAUAUUAGUCAACUUUGUAGCAUUUGCCCUGUGACCUUUCAAUGAGUCUUAGUCAAUCCAAGUGCUUUGCUCAUGCUUUACACGUUGAAGUAGUAGUUCUUGUUUGUAUGUCAUGACAAAUAUCAAUAAACAAAUAAAUAUCCAGAUUUACAAGGUUCCAAUUGUCAUCCACUUUGAAGAUUCUUUUUGAGGGUUCUUAUAUAACUUUUUAGUAUAACAAAAUGUAAUACUGUUAUCUAGUCAAUGGGUGUUUUGCUCAAUUACUAUUUGAUCUUUCAGCCAUAUGGAUAGGACAAGUUGCAAUUAUAGAAGAAUAUUAAAAAAAAUGAUGAGAUUCAAAAGUAUCACUAUAACAGGACUAUUUUGUGAAUUUUUCGUCUCAUUAUUUAAUAAUGUUUUGUCAUCUUGUGUCUUUUGAUUGGUAUAAAUCUAGGUAAUUGGGUUGAAAUCGAAAUAUGUAAUGAAUUAUAUUUAUUUAAAAUAUUUAAAAGUAAAUGAUAAAAUAAAUAGGUCUUAUAUAUAUAUAUAUAUAUAUAUAUAUGUAUUUCUAUGCUUUGAAUAAAAAUAUUCAUAAUAACCAGAUAUUAAUAUUGAACAAAGAUGAAUGAAUAUUGACAAUUAAUAAAUUAUAAUAUAUAUAUAUAUAUAUAUAUAUAUAUAGUAUUGCUAAUGCCAUCAUAGUUCUUGCUACUACCACCACAAUCUUCUAUCCACUUAACAUAUUUGUUUAGUUUUGUUAUUCCAAUUAAAAUUGUUGUUAAUAUAUAUAUUGGGUUAAGUUGAAACAUACAUUUAAUUUUAAUAAGAAUAUCUUUAAAAAUUAGUUGUAGUGGCAAUGACAAUAACUAUGGUGAUAUGUGGUGGAUGACAAACUAUGGUGGCAAUAGCAAAAAAAAGUGGUGGCAUUAGAAACACCGUAUUUAUAUAUAUAUAUAUAUAUAUAUAUAUAUAUGGUUAUCAAAAAUAUACUUUAAAAAGUGAAGUUUAGGAGGAAUAAAAAUUGUAAAAUCAUGUAUAUUAGGGUCCUAAAUAAAUUUUUAAAUAAAAUAAAAUUUCCUGCCUUAUUUAGUAACCCAAAAAAUAUUUAAAAUAUUUGGCUACUUAAAUAGUCUAAAUUCCAGGAAUAAUAAUUGCCAUACAAAUGAUAUACUUUCUUAAAACACUUAGCCAAAUUGAAUUAAAAAAUAAAAAAUAAAAAUAAAGUUGUGAAAGUAAGUCAUCAACAGGUUCAAAUCAAGGUUCACAUGAGAAACAUGAAAUGGGGCCUCAACUACUUCCACAAUUUGCAACUAAUGACUUGUUCUCCAAUCUCUACAAGGAGAAGCACGUUUUGCCUCCACAUCCCACCCAUCACACCUAUUUCAUAUUUCUUAGGCAGCAAGUGGACACAGGGCGGCGCCCCCACUGUAGAUAAAAACCCACUCAGCGGUUUUCAUCAGUGAAUCCAAUUUGGGGGUAUGUAGUGAUAUCCACCAAAAUGGUCAUGAUUUUUCAUAACUGUUUGAGAAUAAAUGAAACGGUUAACUGGUUGAUAAGAAAAACAGGGAACUGGCCACAGUUUGUCUGCUCAUCAGCUGUGUGGCCAGAAAAAAGAACGGCAAAGUUGCAAAGCGGUGUGUUUGAGCCGUUGUACCUGCCGAAGUGAAGGGGUUUGGAUUGUUAGAACGGUUCAAUAGCACCUGUCCACACUACACAACGCCUCUUCACCACCCAUCUAAACAUGUUCAUCACUUUACGUAAAACAUUCAUGCGGUUCUAUGAGAUUCAACUCCAUAGAACCCACAGAAAGUCUAUCACUCUCUCUUGCAAAACUCCACAAAGAGAGUUUCUCCCGGACAAUCUGGUAACAAAAAUUUGCUCUGUAGUUGAAUCUCCAUGGAAACAUCGUGGUCGAAACUCACGAAUGUUAUGGCCACACACAGCACUUGCAGGUUUCACAUAGACGAACGAGCUAGAUUAGGAGUGUGUGAGGCUGAUUUUUGAAGAGGAAACUUGCAGGCAAGAGCAUAUUGUGCAAUAUGAAUACUCCUCCUGAUCAUGUUUCAGCUGACCGAAAUUAAAUUUAAUGUCAAGUCGAUGGUAAAACAAUCUCAAAUCUUAGCUAUGGUGUUUUCAGUCUAGACUUAUACACGAUGCUGUGUUGCUUAGUUGUUGGAUGAAGACCAUUGACAUCUAACUUUGUGUCAAUUUCUGCACGUUAUAUUUACAACAAGCAAGUGAGGAAUUGAUACAGUAGUGCCCACAUCAGAAGCAAAUGGUGCACGUAUCAGGAGGCCCAGAGCGGCCAGUCAGUCCGGCUUGCAACUCCAAAUCGGGUGUAAGUCGUAAUUUAGCCAGAAUUUAAUCUGUUUGGAAGUUUCGCAAAAUAAGCUUUAACACGGACAUUCUUGCAUGGAUGUGGAGUAAUGACUUCAUGAUGAUCCCAUGACCGCUAGAGACGCUGCUCGCAAAGAAUUCUGCGACGGGCUUACAAUAUUGUCCAUUUGGUUAGAUUCUACAGGAGGGAAGAAAGUGCAUCUGUAAGGUAUGCACCUGCGGCUUCCACAAAUGCCCCCAGAAGCACACAUCCGUCUUCACCAAAUUCGGCGACAAGACAAUUUCAGAAUAUUGCGCCAAGUACCCACAAUGGCCAGUCCCGCAGAAAUUCAUCCGCAAGGUGCCCCCAUCCGAGCACGCCAACCUCAGAAUGGCCUCGGAGACGACCUACAGCGACGACUUCGUCAAGCACCCAUUCGGCCCCGCGGCCUCACGCCGCCCUACCCAACUAACCACCCAAACUGGUGUACUGCAAAAGGAAACGACCUACAAUACCUCCUACUGGGAUAAAUCGAAGCAAAUGCAACCCAGAGUGAAAAUGCAACCGGAGAAGCACGGAUCCGGGGCCAAAUUCUCCGGCCAGUCGCUCUACUCAGUAGAAUUCACCAACCCCGGCCGACAACCCCCUAGUAAAGUGGUCCGUCACGGCGACAGCCUUGGCUCACACGGUGCCAAAUUCGACUCCGACUCCACAUAUCACGAUGAUUACAGGCAAUGGAAAAUCCCAGCCAAGCACCUUCAUAGGAGGCCGGACAACCCACAGCCUACAGGUAAGAUCGAAGGCCCGACAACGUAUCAAGCCGACUACCAGAACCGCAAAAUCCCCAACCAAUGCCCUGUUUCUGUCGGCAGCAAGCCCUCGAUCGUUUGCGGCGAUCACAUGUGCUACUGAGUCCACUCCAUCGCUGUGCGUGGAUCACUAACCCAGACUCUAUUCCGCGAAUUCCCCGCCUGUGAUCGAUCGAUCGAUCAAUGGAAUAAGGCCAAAGUGCUGCAGAACACAUGACUUGCCUUAAAACAGACAACUUUAGAAUAUCUACCAACUUUCAUAAUCUUCAGAUUACGUUGAUUUAUUUACGUAGAUUCCUCGUUUUUAUUGAAGAUACGCUGACCGGGCGUGAUGUAUUGAUAUUCGAUAGGUAGUCAAAUAAAUAUGCUAAAACCAAAGAAUUUUGAUAAAGCCAUAAUAUUAACAAGAUUUUAAAAAUAUAUAGAUUAAUGAGACGAAAGACAAUUUCAUAUUUACUAGUACCUAUAUCAAUUAUAGGCUUAGGAGUCUUUUGUUAAUUAUUUUUAAAAGAGUAUUUUUAAGAAAAAUAUAUUUUUUUUACAUAAGUUUUUUUAAUGUAUUAAUUUUAUUUUUUUAAAAUAAAAAAUACAUUCUUU